rnacentral:lncRNA from 1 species
GAGGUUAUCGAUCGUUAAUGAGAGGCAGCUACUUACUAAGUUCCAACAAUUCUGCUCGUGUUCGCUUCAUUCACAUCUUUCCUGAAAAGUUUAGCCAUGCCAAAAUCUGAUAUCUUUGGAUUCAUUUCAUCGUCUAGUAAAAUGUUGCUAGAUUUCAAAUCUCGAUGAAUUAUUGUAAAAUUUGAGUACUCUUGGAGGUAUAGAAGCCCUUGAGUAACCCCUUCAAUGAUACGAACCCGCUUACUCCAAUCCAAGCUAUAACUUCUAAUUGGAUCUGCAUAAAAUGGCACAGGAGAAACUUUUAGUUGCUACUUAUCUUAAGAAUGACAUUAAUUUGGCAUCCGUUGAGACCUCCCAAUACAGAUGACUAGAAUGAUCUGAGCUUUUGGAGAAAAAAACUGCUUGUUAAUAAAAUGUGUGCUUAUUAGCUGCAAUGACUAAGCAGAAAAAGAUUGCAGACCAAAGAGGUAGAGAUCCAAGCUUUUAUUUGGCAUGUACUCGUAUAUUAGCAUCUUCUCUCCCCUCUCGGAGCAAAAUCCCAGAAGCCUAACUAGAUUUACAUGUUGAAGUCUAGCCGUGAGCGAAACCUCGUUCUUGAACUCUUCAAGUCCUUGAGUUGAUGAUGCUGACAGCCUCUUCACUGCUAUUUCCAGGCCUCUUGGUAAUUUACCCUGGUACAUUUUGACACUUGAUGUUAGCAUUAUUUCCUGUAAACAAACCUGAAAAUCUGAACAUGAAUCGUUCCAAACAUGAGACUUGCAGUCAGGAAUACAGAGGGUUAACUUAACCAUACAAUACCUUAUAAACAGGGCCAAACCCACCCUCUCCAAGCUGGUUUUCUCUUGAAAAGUCAUUUGUAGCUGCUUUAAUGCUUUCAAAACUGAACACUUGCGGGAUAGGAGCAUCACCAUCAAAAUUUUCUGCAGCGGCUGAUAAACUAGUUCCUCUACCAGAGAAACUUCUAUCACCUAAGACUCUGGUUCCUGUAGCUGAAAAUAGAAGAAGGAAGCAACCCAAAAAUGUUUAUCUGUUUGUCAUUCCACUAUUGAAGGUAAAUGGCGGACCCUCUCAAUUGAUUAAAGUUUACCUUCUCGCCCAAAAAGUCUCCUUCUGUAGUAAAACAUCAAUGAGGCUGAUAAGAUACUGAUGAAAGCAAUUGGAAGCACAAUUUUUAGCCACAACCAGCUCCUUUUUCCCUGGCGUACCUCAUCUUGUGCUGUUAAUGCAGGUCACUAAAUUAAUCUCUCAUCAAAUCGAAUACAUAGUUUUUCAUCUACUCUUGCUCAAAUUCUGUGUGGUUGCGUAUAAGGAAGGCUAAAGAAUUGACUUUUUUUACUAGUGAUGAUGUCAAACAGGCACAGGAGAAACCAAAGCAUAAACAAAAGCCUAGUUGGUAUCUACAUACAGACUUAACAGUUGAAGAUGCUAAACACACAGUGCAAGCUUAGGAUUAGACUUCCACCAAGAUUGACAGCAGAUGUGGUAUUCUGUCUGACGCAGAGUAUUGUCAAAGCUACCAGAGUUUUCAAUUUUCCUGACUAAUUUACAAUCUAAUAAAAAAUCAUUACCAACCUGCCAGAGAAAGAGCCCAGUUGUCAUCAUGGAUCACUUGAAACACGUUGUAACCAAGUAGCCCCUUCUCCUUCGCAUAAGAAAUCUUAGCUCUAACGGUCUCCACAUCAUCAAAAUUGAUCCAAGUUGAUCCAGCAACGAAAUAAUUCACUACAUAAGUAGAAUUAUAAACUGACCUAGCUCCAUAACCAUAAUUUUGAAUGAAUGAUCUGACGAACCUAUAGCCUAUCGAACCAUCAAUGGUAACACCAGGACCUGAGGCUGGUGCGCCAAGAGAACUGUCAGAGGGAUCCACCAGUGUCCAGGCAUAUCCAUGGUACGGCAUACCCAGAAGUAGUUUGUUUGCUGGAUAUCCUCCACUUAACCAUUGUCUAAUGCCAAAAUCGGUAGAAAUAUUGCUUGACGGGUUAUAUAAAGCAGCAUGGUUGCCUGUAAAGUUCUCCCUUGAAGGCAUGUGAUAGUCAUAUGCUACAACAUGUGCCCAAUCUAAAUUCCUCUUCAUUGAAUUAAUCGGAUAACUUACACUUUGAAGACUUGGUGAGUAGCGAACGCCCAUUGUUAGAAUUAACUUCGACACGCUUGAGUUUCUUGGCUCGGAAUCGACAGUAGCCCUCCACUCAUCCAACAGAGUUCCUAUAUUUGACAAAUCUGUGCUAUUAGGCCAAAGCCAGAACAAGUCUAUUCCUUGAAACCCAAGAGUCCUAGCUGUUUUUACCGAAGAUUCAAUAAAAGACUUCCUGUAGGAAGAUUGCGUCAGCAUUGAAGACAAGACGGAACUGUUAACCGCCUCACCUAAAAUGGACUUGUAUGUCUCAGGUUGCCCAUUCCAUAUUGACAGAAGCGUUACAAUUGAAGGGUUCUUGCGCUUGACGAUGCCGGUGAAGUUCGAGAAGUUCUGUUGAAAGUCAGAUGGGACGGAGAGCUCAUAGGUGGUUGAGUUGACAUUGGCAAAUGCACAAAUAAGGUGUGUAAACAGGGCAGAGUUUAUGUCAGGUAUUGGGAAGUCACUACCACCGUACCAGUAACCAGCUUUAAUCCAUUUUUGUGCAACUGAACAACGAUUUUGGGAAGAUAGGAAGGCGACCGAGAAGAAAAGGAUAAUGGUAUUUCUGAUCGCCAUGAGACAGGGGAAGCUGAUGCAUAGUGUAGCGCGUGCAGGUGCUUGAUAUUCUUGGAGUCUUGGAUACACGUGCGCCAGUUGACUGGCAAGUCCUCCUCUGGUGGUCGUCAUUCGGUGGUUCGAUUUGUAUAAUUUCAGUAAUUUAAAACCUCCAAAAAUUAAAAUCGAAUCCAAACCGAAAUUAUAAUUUAUUUUGAAAAAUAAAAAACCAUUCCAAGGUUCUAAUCAAUUACAAAAUAUAAUUAAAGAUAUGAAAAUCAGAGUCUUAUGAAAUUUCUUAAACAUUUUGUGAAUCUACCCUUAUCUCUACUUUUUAGAGGUCUUCUAAUAGGUCCACGUAAUUCUUAAAGCAAGUUAUUUAUGUUGGUUAGGUCCCUGUAAAUUUAAUGAAAGAUUGAGGUCUUUUAGCUUUAUAUAUAAAGCUAUAUUGUUUAUUUCAAUGCAGGAAUUGUGUUGUUGCUUUCACUCCAACAACUAUAUUGAAUUAAUGGUCCAUUAUAACACUGAAAGCUGCGUUUAAUAAGAUUUUUUGUGCCGUCUCUCCGAGGUCAUUUAGACAUCAUAUUGAUGUUUAGUAGGUUUCUCUGCAGAAACUAAGGAGCCAUGCUGAAGACAAUACUUGUAAUACAAGUAAAAAACAGCUUUAUAAUUUUAAAAUAUCUAAUUUAACUGGUAAGAUUUUAAAUUUAUUUUUUAAAAAUCACCCAUUCAAGUAUCACAAGCUUAAGAGCCAUUAAAAAUUUAUAUAAUUAUUAAUUUUAAAGCCUGUAUAAUUAGUCAAGGUACAUGUUAAUUAACUUGGAUAUCCAUAUUAAUAAUAAUAAAAAAACUAAUUGUGCGAGGGCUACAAAAAUCAACCAAUCCAGAUAUUAGCAUUUGUCCCAAAUAUAUAUAUAUAUAUAUAUUCUAAUUUACAAACUCUGUUAUUGUAAAUUAAUAACCAAAUAAAAAAGAUAACAACAUUUACUUAGCUAGUAAAGAUGAGACGAAAACAUUUUUAGACAAAAAAAAAAAUUUUUAUAUGUUUCUUGUUUUGAAAACAUAUAAAUUUAAUUCAAUAUAAUUUUUAAAAUAAUUUAAUUUUAUAUCUUUAUCUUUAAUGUUCUUGUAUUUUUAUUUUUUUAAUGUUCUGAAACACCAAAUAAAGUCAAGUGGGCUUAAAAGUUAAGGAAUGCAAUAAAUUGAGAGACUAGAUAUUAAUUGACAGGCAACAACCUUUGUCCUGCGUCAGUGAACAGAUGUGAAUCCUUAAUGUUUGAGGUAAACAGGACAUGCUCAUGAUCUUAUGCCAGGGAAGGUGUCAUGAAUGUCUUGCAAACGGGUCCCAUGACAAAGAGAACCACAUAAAAUGAAAUUGUUCUUCACAAGGAGGGUCUUUGUCAGCGCUCCAUAAAAUAAAGUUUCAUAUGAAGUAGUUUUAUUAACAAGGAAAAAGCAGUUACCAACUUUCAAGCUUACCUUUUUGUCUACAUUGGAUCAGCAGAAGCCGUUUUGCUUGACUCCUGCCCGCCAUAAAAAACAUGGAAAUCACAGACCUUCACAAUACCUUUCAUUGUUCGUGCAGGAAAAAAAAAUCUAAAUAGAAAGAAACAAUUUUAACCAAGAAGUUUGACACAUGACCUAAGUAAUCACGUACGGUCACCUUGAUAAAAGCAGAGAAAACAGAGAAAUAACCCUUCUCAGUUCUCACCCUACCCUAUCUCUAUCUAACCAAAAAAUCGAGACAGCUUCUUCUUCUUUUUGUAGAAAAUCUUAUUGCACCAUUGCUUAAUGCAUACGGCAAGGAAUAUGAAGCUGAUGGGUCAGAUUAACCAAAUUUGUUUUGUUGCCACGCACAACAUCCUAUUCAAUCUUCGUGGUUAUGUUUUUCCUUAAUUUUCCUUUUCUAGUUUGCUACUUUCCUUACGACUAUUCCCUUAAUGUUAUUGAGAGAGAAAGGGAGGGAACUUCUGAGAAGAUUUACAUGCUAUUAUGGUUUCAUAUCUACAAGCCGACUUUUGAAACAAUCAUCGAGACGAGUGCUUUUCCCUAAAUGCUGUUCUGAUAAUUGCGAUUGACACUAAAAUGCAGGUUGAUUCUGCUUUGCAUGAAGUAAAAACGAGGGCUUCUAUCCAAAGCACUGGGUUCUCAUUCCUACUGAGUUCCGUUCUGUACUGUUGUAUACAUCUGGUUGUAAAGCUAUAGUAAAUGAUCUUACAUUGUUGUGAGAGAUGGACCCUUUUUGGUAGCCAACAAUCAUUAAGAUAUAAAAGAACAGGAUCUAUCAUAAUAACUUAGAAAGAAUACAUACAAUCAGUUCAACCAGGAAGAAAAAAGGAGAGACUCUUGAGUUCUGUUCAUGAAAGCCUUUACUUCAGCGAGGUUCCAAGUCAGAUAUUGUUGCAUCAUUCACAGAAUAAAUUUUAUUCCUGAGAACACUGUCCUCCUCUUCAUCUCUUUUGGUUGAAAAAGAAGGCCUUUUUGGAGUGGCGAUAGGUGCAUUUUCAUUUUUUAGCAUCGAAGAAAUUUUUAACAUAGAUGGCCUGUCCAAAGGAUUUUCUUGGACGCAUAAUAGAGCAACUUGCAGGCAUCUUGUGAGUUUACAUGAUGAAAAGGAAUCGUCUAGCGAUGGAUCGAAAAACUCCACGCCUUCACCAUCUUUCCAUAAUUCAUAUGCCUGAAACAAUUUGAUAACCAUAUUGGUAUUCAAAUGCGGACUAUGGGAGAAAAAAAGUGAAUUAUGCAUUCAUAUAUUGGAAAAGAUGUGACUGAUCACUUACAUAUUCAAGAAGGUUCCAGUUUUCGUCUGCACCAUAGUAACAUGUACUCCUCUUGCCACUUAUGAUUUGCAGGAGUAGAACUCCAAAGCUGUAAACAUCAUAUUUCAUGGAGUAUAUGCCUUUUCUUACAUAUUCAGGGGGACAUAACCACUGCAAUUCAAAAAAUAAAUAAGAAUGAGAAGAUUUAGCAAACAGUUCAUGUCGAAAUAUGUACCACUUUGAGACAAUUUCCUUACUAUGUUCCAACUAUCCUGCUUGUGUUUGCUUCGAGUUCAUCUUUCCUGAAGAGCCUAGCCAUACCAAAGUCUGAUAUCUUAGGGUUCAUUUCCUCAUCCAAUAGAACGUUGCUACUCUUUAUGUCUCGAUGAAUAAUGGUAAAAUUCGAGUAUUCUUGGAGAUACAGAAGCCCUUGAGUAAGACCUUCAAUGAUUUGAACGCGUUUUCUCCAAUCUAACAUGUAUCUUCUGACUGGAUCUACAUCGAAGGAGACCUUAAACAAUUAUUCGAGGUACAUUUAGAAGGUUGGCCAAACUAAGCUAGAGAAAAAGAUUCUACUGACCAUAGAUGUAGAAAUCCAAGCUCUUGUUCGGCAUGUACUCGUAGAUCAGCAUCUUUUCUUCCCUCUCGGUGCAAAAUCCCAAAACUGUAACUAUAUUCACAUGUUGAAGUUUUUCUGUAAGUGUGACCUCAUUUUUGAACUCCUCUUCACCUUGAGUCGAAGUUUUUGACAGUCUCUUCACUGCUAUUUCCUUUCCGUUUGGUAGUUUACCCUGGCAAAACAAAUGCCUCAAGCUGUCAUGUUUUCGAUCCUUUCAAAGUCAUUCAAGACAAUUACUUGCCAAUAUUCUGUACCCUCGACAUCCUUCUUUCGUAUAGAAUAUAAACAUACAGCUUAUAUGUAAUUAGUGUUCUGCAGUGAAAGAAUCAGAACGCAUUUAUAUUUUGCCAAAUUUAUUUACCUUGUAGACAGAGCCAAAUCCACCUACUCCAAGUUUGUUUUCACUCGAAAAGUUAUUAGUAGCCGCAGCAAUCGUAUCAAAACUGAGUGCUUGCAGAUUUGGAGCAUCGCUAUUAAUAGCUCUAGUAGCAGAUACUUUGAUUUUCACUGCAGAUAGUGAUUUUUGGACACUCCCAGCAAUUUCUGUUACCAUGAAACAAAUCAAAGAACUAACUGUAUCUUAAUCCUGUUGUAAUAAUUGGUGAACCAACUCAAAAUUUUGGUUAAUAUAUUUGGAAAAUUGUCACAACGGGAAGAUGUUACCUUUUGAGCCGAGUUUUUUCCUUCGAAAGUAACAACAAAUUAUGGUGCCCACACGAGAAAGACCACAGCAAUCGUAACCAGAAUAGUUACCAAUACCUUCCUCUUGUUCAGUCCAUCUUCAUCUUUUCCCUGAGCUGCGAGCAUUUAUCAUCAUGUAAGUAUUGUUUUAUGAUAUCUUUCUAUUGCAGUGAAAGCUCAUUUACUCUAUAAAACACACCUCACAGAACUUAGUAUUGCAGGGGAGGGCAAUUGAUAAUUCAAAAGCAAUUGAAACAUCUCUAGUCCGGUGUUUCAUUAAAAUAAAGAAAAAAUGGGAGAUCGAAAUUUCCACGAACAACCUACCUGCUCGAGAAAGAAUCCAAUUAUCGUCAUUGGAGAGCUGAAAUACGCUGUAACCACUAAGAUUGUUCUCCUUUGCAUAAGAAAUCUUAGCCUUGAUAGUCUCCACAUCAUCAAAAUUGAUCCAAAUCGACCCAACAACGACAAGCUUCGUAACAUAGGUAGAAUUGUACACUGCUGCAGCUCCAUAGCCAUAACCUUGAAUGAAAGAUUUAAUAUUCUUAUAACCCAUGGAACCAUCACGUGUUACAGCUGGACCCGAGGAGGGUGCCCCAAACUCUUUUUCGUUGGGGUUCACCAGUGUCCAUGCAUAACCAUGGUAAGGCAAACCCAAAACCAGUUUGCUAGCAGAUAAUCCUCCUCUUAACCAUUCCUUUAUCCAUUCAUCGGUGUUAACCCAAUUUGAAGUGCCAUAUAAAGCAGCAUGUGCACCAGUAAAAUUAAAUUCUGCAGGCACAUGAUAGUCAUAUGCAACAAGAUGUAUCCAAUCUAAGGUCCUUUUCAUGAUAUCAAUAGGAUAAGUAGCCGAGUGCUGAGCAGGCGAGUGAGUAGCUGACAUUACCAAGAGCAACUGUGACUUGCCAGAUUUUCUUGAAUCGGAAGCUAUAGCGUCUCGCCACUCAUCGAACAGGAUUCCUAGAUUGGUCAUGUUGAUGCUCAUACUUGGCCCAACCGACCCAACCCAAAUGUCUAGGCCAUCAAAACCAUAAAGCCUCGCUGUAUAUAUCGAGGACUCGAUAAAAGACUUUCUAUAAGAAGACUGAUUUAUCAUCGAGGAAAACGUUGGAAGACCCCUUCCCCAAGCCGCGAUGGAUAGAAGGGUUUUAACUGAAGGGUUCUUAACCCUGACAGUGCCUGUGAAGGUAGAGAAGUAGGAUUCUUUGGAAGAGUUGAUAUGAAUAUGAUAAGUAGAAGAAUUUAUAGUAGAAAAGGCACAUACAAGGUGAGUAAAAAGAGCAGAAUUGAUAUUAGAAACGGGCAUUUCACUGACGGAAUCCCAGUAACCUGCUCUAAUCCAGGUUUCUUGGGAGUUUGAGCUGUGAACAUAGGAAGAUAGAAAGAGAAGGAGGGUGAUGAUCAUAGUGUUGCAAGCCAUUGAAGAAGAAGCUUACUUUUGCAACCCCAGCAGGACUCCUAAUCUGUAUCCGUGAGAAGUGAAACUCUUGGAUCUGGGGCCUCGUACUUUUCUGAAAGGUUAUUUGCUUGAAGUGUAAUAAACGAGAAUGUUUUUAGUCUUGCCAGUUAACGUGCAGUCUGUGUUUUUUCCUAGAAGGGACAAUCAAUGCUCAAUUAGUUAUCACCUUGAUCAUGUUGCCAUGUGGUAGGACGAAAAAAAAAAAACUAUAAGCUUUUUUAAUAUUUUUUGUUUUGUUUUUAUACAUGGUUUGGUGGCACCUUGUAGUUGUUAUUGUACAACGCUAUUUCCAGUCAAUUUUUACAUCCUAAAAAUUCAACCUUUCUUUUUAAUUUUGUCAAAGAAAGAUUAUUUAUAUCGAUGUUAGAAAAUUCAAGAAAAUUUCGCUUCCAAAAUGACUGGAUUUUGAUGAGAUAUAAAAGUGACGAUCCUAAAAUACCUGAUAGAAAGUCUAGUGAUUUGACCAGCUUAGCGUGUCCACAUUCCAUUGAUUCUUAGUUUUGAGGUCCAUCCAAACGAAUCAUUCUUUGCAUUAUCAAGUUAUAGUUCAUAUUGGAGUCCGGUUACUUUUAUUUUUUAAAUUUUAAAGUAUUUUUUAUAUUAAAAUAUAUUAAAAUAAUAAUUUUUAUUUUAUAAAAAAUAUUUUUAAAACCAGUGCAUUAAUACGAUACAAAAUAUAAAAGAAAUUAAUUUUUUAUAAAAAAAUAAUUUCAAACAUUUUCUUAAAGUAUUUUAAACUUGAAAUUUAUCUUAUUUUUUUAUUUAAUUUUAAAUAAAUAAAUAAAUAAAAAUAAUAAAAUUUAAAUAUAUAUUUAUUUGAUUGUUAGUUUUUAUUUAGUUUUGAUACUAAAUAAAAAAACUAUUUUUGCUUGUGCUAAGACCCCAGCAAAAAGGGAUGUGCUAGGAAGUUUUCAGUUACUUGCACAAGUACGUUUUGGCUUGCUCUUUGACAGGUGUCCUAAUUUCCCUCUUCAGACCAGAGAUGCUGAAACAUCUCGUCUUUCCCCUCUUUUAGCUGUUUGCAACCUCCACCUUGUGCAAAAGAAAGCAAGGAAAAUGAUGGUGCCAACAAAAAAAAGUCAUAACCGAGCCUGGCUGACAAGAGUCUCAACCGAGGCUGCCAACCACGAGCCCAACCGAGCUUGUCCUAAGCUCAACUCAACUGUUACGGGUUAUUUUUCGCUUCGUGAAUAAAAUCGUGUGGCAGUUCAAUUCCUCACUAAACUCAGCUUUUUCUUAUCAAUCUCAUUCAUGUUUAUCUAAUAACUAAGUAUUUUCUUGACGUAAGAGAUUUCUCUACUUUUCCAAAUUAAAAAACAAGUGAAAUAUACAAGUAUAUUGCACGCCACAAAGCAAAGCACACCGAAAAUACAAGAAGAACUCCAAUCCUUUAUUUAUCUCGUUAAUAAAAGAUUACACAAUGAGUAUGUUUGUUAUGCACAAAAAUCGUAUGCUACACAGCCAAGCUUACACACGUUAUUUCCUUCUACAAACAAGAGUUGUAAACAACUAUUUAUAGCCAAGUAUGUGAGCUGCAAGGCACACCUAUAAUCUCUAUUUUUAAGGAUUUAGUGGGACAUUUUCUCCCUCGUGAUCUCCAUGAUCUUAGUGGCCUAUUUUCUAGCAAGUAGUGCACAGUUGUUGCCCAUGAUCCCAUGAUCCAGUAGCGGGUAGAGCAAUCUCCUUGAUUAGCCCCCACGUUUUGCCCAAUGAUCCCAUGAUCUAGAAAGUUCAUAACUCCCACUCACCCGCAUUCUUGCAUGCAUACCUGGCAACCCCAACUACCAGUUCUUGUGCUGUUGAGUCACUUGUAUGUCUUGGACAAUCCUUUGUCCAAGUCUUAGAUCGUGCUAAGUCGAACCCAUGACUUGCACAAGCUGUUGUGCACUGUCGAAUUCGCAUCUACGUGCAAGCUGCCAAUUCCUGCGCUGUUAAAUUCCGCGAUAGCCCCAGUUCUUGUCAACCUAUCUCCUUGAUGAGUUUUCCUGCUUAGCCUAGAUAUUCCAUCGUCCAGCCUAUGUUUGUCAAUAAUCUACAUUAUUGAUUUUUCUUUGAUGAAUCUACAACUAGACAAAUCUGCUGCCAGUACCUUUAGAUACUGUUUUGAAUAGUCUUUUAAAGUGUGCACACACUGUUUUGAAUAGUCUUUUAAAGUGUGCACCACAUGCGCGUUUAACGGUGUUACACUAACCCUUUUAAUUUUCAAACGAACCCUUUUUUCCCGAACUCAACCUAACCCUCUCAUCUUUUAAUCGAAUCCUCUCUUUCUUGGCACAACUUAACCUUCACGUUUCCCGACCCAACUUUUAUAUUUUGACAGGGAAUUUAUUUCGCAGGCGAGUCAGUUGAAAAGCUAAAAUCUAGUAUGAGAAAGUCUCACGACUUCAUAGAAAAAAGAGAGAGGAAAGAGUGGAAACACAUUCAGGAGACAUCUGUGCUAAUAUUUGACCUGCGAAGCUUCUUGAAAGAAGCAUCAUUUGAGAAGUCAGCCACAGCUAUUUUGAUAAAACUUGUUGCGUGGGCUGGCAUCAAUAUAAUUCCACGUUCAAGAUUUCAAUCUAGAAAAGGAAUUGAUAACUUGUAGGGUCGCCAGAAUUGUCUUAGUACGUGAAGACUUUUGUGUAAGACUUGUGGUGGCCUUUGAUACGUCGACAGGAGCAGUCUAUCAAAGUUUUUUUCAUAUAAAUUUUAUUUUGCUAUGACUGAUGAAUUUUAGCGGUAUCAAAAAGGUGGCCUGAAGGAGGAAUUUGAGUCCUAGCAAAAAGGGAGAGCCGAACCCGAAUCUUUAUCGUUAAAUAUCACAACUAAAAUGCAAAUAUAUAAUCAUACACCUUUAUUUCGACAUUAUAACUUUACGUAUAGCAAGGUGUCCCAACACAUAAGGCCAGUGAGCAAAUUUAUUCAGAACUAACUGCUUAGUGGAAAGAGGCAUAUUGCAUGGCAUUAUAGUUCAGUUACGGAGUUGUUUGAUAAUAAUCUAGAAAAAACACAACGAGCUUGCUGUUCAAGUCUGUAAACAGAUUUAGCAUUUGCUUCAAGCUUCUGCAAGAAAGUACUUCCUCAUCGCCCGACGACUUGCGAGAUUGUUGCAUCAUCAACUGAACAAAUAUUUAAGUGCAAUUGCUCAGGUCUGUUUUCGUCAUCUUCAUCUGUCCUCACAGAAAAAGCAGGCCUUUUGGGAAUGGUCACAAUGGCAGUUUCGUUUUUGAGCAUUGAAGAAACUUCCACCAUAGACGGCCUAUCAAUAGGAUUUUCUUGGACACAUAGCAGUGCAAUUUGCAAGCAUUUGAUCAAUUUACAAGAGGACAAUGUGUCAUCCAGCGAUGGAUCCAUGAUCUCCAUGCCUUUACCAUCUUUCCACAGCUCGUAAGCCUGCAAUUAACAAAAAUCAUAAUCAUGCAUGACAAAUGCAAAAUCUAAAAUAUCGUCAGUUGUGUUCUCAAGAAACUUACAUAUUCUAGGAGGCUUAAAUUUUCACCAGAACCAUACAAGGAGCCAUUCUUCUUGCCGCUUAUGAUAUGCAGUAGUACCACUCCAAAACUGUAAACAUCAGAUUUUAUGGAAUACACGCCGUUUCUGACGUAUUCCGGAGGAACAUAACCGCUGCACAGGAUGAUUUCAUUCACAAUGUUAAGUUUUCAAAAAUAAUUUAUGUAUGAAAUGAAUUUGUGCAUGAGGCUUACUAUGUCCCAACAACCCGGCUAGUGUUUGCUUCUUGUUCAUCUUUUGUGAAAAUUCUAGCCAUACCAAAAUCAGAUAUCUUAGGCUUCAUAUCCCCAUCCAGUAAAAUGUUGCUGGCUUUCAAGUCUCGAUGGAUAAUUGUCAGUCUCGAAUAUUCUUGGAGGUACAGAAGGCCUUGAGUUAUCCCUUCAAUGAUUUCUGCCCUUUUCUUCCAAUCCAACAAAUAUCGCCUAAUCGGAUCUGUCAUAUCAGAUAACAAACUAUCAAGGCUAUAAGCAUUUUCGAUCUUACUGACACGAACAUGCAUAAGAAUGUCGGAAAUUGUAAUGCAAUGAAAGACUAGAUCACACUCAAAUCUUUUUUUAUUUCUGUAAAGCGAAGCAUAAAAGGAUGCUGAGUGCUAACCAUAUAGGUAACAGUCCAGGCUUUUUUUUGGCAUGUACUCAUAGAUCAGCACCUUCUCUUCUCUGCCAACGCAAAAUCCCAAAACUUUCACGAGAUUUACAUGUUGUAAUUUUGCAGUGAGCAUAACCUCAUUCUUGAAUUCAUCAAAUCCUUGAGUAGAGGAUUUCGAAAGUUUUUUCACUGCUAUUUCUUGUCCACCUGGUAAAACACCCUGGAAAAACAGAAUGUCAUGCUAAUUUCUUUCACUCAAAGACUGAAAUCUGAAUGCUUGAAGAAUUUUAAUGAGUUUUCGGUAUAUUUUCAUCACAAUAGAAAAAGAAUUGUUACAGCAUUUAUAUUAUAUGCUAACUAUAUCUUCUCCUAUAUUUAAGCUACUGGAAAGUUAAAAUAGAAUUGAAGUCUAUCUCUAGUAUACGAGUUUAUCACAAUAUCAGUUUGCAAGUUAUCUUGAAUAUGCCUCCUAUAUCUUCCUGAUUCAACAGUUUGAAAGUUAUCUCCAAUAAAGAUAAGCAUGUCUUAUCCCUGCAAAAGAGAGAGAGUUUUCUAAAUGGCAGGAGACAGACACUUAAUGACUCCAUUUUCACAAGUGGAACAUGUCUCUAGAAAUGCUUACUCACAGUCCAUUCUUGCAAAUGGUUGCAUAUCUCCAUGAAUCCUCAACAAAAUAUAGCAUCAUGAGUUGAAGAGUAAUGUCCCAUUGUAACCUAUAAAGAAUUAGUUAAUUACCUUGUAAACAGGGCCAAAUCCACCCUCCCCAAGCUUAUUUUCAAAUGCAAACUGGUCUGUAGCUUUCUCAAUAUCUGCCAAACUAUAUUCUAUCAGAUCAGGAUUAUUGUCUGUCGAAGUCGCCUGCUGCUGCCGCAUUAUUUACUUUCAACUUUGUUUCUUUACUCUUUGAUUUGAGGAUUCUAAUUCUUAUGAAAUAAAAUGCCAAGCCCAGUAGAAUAAUAACAGCAGCAGUUGUUGUCAAGAUGAUAAUCAAUAUACGGGAUUUUGGUCGUCCUUCGUGUUUGGGGUCAACCCCUCCACCUGAGUCAACCCCCCCAGCUGAGGACAUAGACAUAUUAUGUGAAUUAGCGAUCAGAAUUGUCUGUGUCCAGUAAAUUUUAAAAGAUUAUUCAAGGAUGAUAAAAGAUUAUUCAAGAAAGAUUUAAAACAAAAUGAUGCAGAUGUUUUGCAUAAAAAAAUGUAAUCACAGAUUAUUCAAGGAUGAUAAAUCAUUAUUUUUUGGCAGCCAGAUGGUACCAAUUGUCGAAUUUAUAUAGGCAGACAAUAUCCAACCAUCUAAACACACAAAAGAUUAAAAAAACUGCAAGUAGGUACACAAUCCUGCAUUAUAUAUGACAAGCCUUAAUGACAAAUAGCUGAUGAUGGCCUUUUGGUUUUACCCUGAAGCAAGUAGGAAUUCAUAAGAAUUCAGAUAAAAAGAAUAUCUGGCAAGAUUCUCUAUAUAUUGCACAUUAACAAUCAAAUUAAUCAAUCAAGGCCAACCUCUUGACAUCAUUGUUAUCACGAUGGUCAAAGAACCAUUUUGUGGCUUAAGAACAUUCCCAUACCUGCUUGAGAGAGUACCCAGUUGUCAUCUUGAGAGACUUCCCAUACAACAUAUCCCAGGAGGGCCUUCUCCUUGGCAUAAGAAACCUUAGUUCUAACAACAUCAACACCAUCAAAACUAAUCCAAGUUGACCCUACGAUGCCGUAAUUUACCACAUAAGUGGAAUUGUAGAUAGGAUCAACUCUUCCGUUUGCUUUGAAAUAAUUAUUGAUAACUUUAUAGCUCAUGGAUCCAUCUUCUGUAACGGCUGGUCCAGUUGCUGGUGCGCCAAUGGCAUUUUCAUUCGGGCUUGCAAGUUUCCACGCAUAACCAUAGAAAGGCAAACCUAAAACCAACUUACUAGCCGGUAAUCCUCCAUUAAUCCAUGCUCUUAUUCCAAAAUCAGUGUUAACAUCACUAUCAGGAUCAUACAAAGCUGCAAAAGCAGCCGUGAAGUUAGCCCAUGUAGGCAUGAAGUAGUCAAAAGCCAGCACAUGAGUCCAAUUCAAAUUCUUCCGUAUAGAGUCUAUAGGGAAACUCCCGGAAUCCAGUCUUGGCGAGUACUGAACGGCUGCUGUCAGGAUGAGUUCUGACAGGCUAGAGUUUCUUCCCUCCAAAGCAAUAGCAGCACGCCACUCUUCGAAGAGGGUACCCAUACUGUCCAUGUUAUCGCUUGUGCUGGCCGAAACCCAGCUGAAGUCUAGCCCUUGAAAGCCAUAAUGCCUCGCUAUUUUUAUUGAGUCAUCUAUGAAAAACUUCCUGUAAGUAGAAUUGCCUGCCAUUGCAGAGAGUGUUGAAUAGUUUGUGCUUCCUCCUCCAAUGGAUAGUAAGGUAGUGAUCGAUGGAUUCUUCUGUUUUACGGUGUUUGUGAAGGCAGAGAAGAGUGGGUCAUCUGAGGAGGAGAUAGACAGGUGAUACGAAGAUGAAUUAAGGCCAGCAAAAGCACAAAUAAGGUGAGUAUAGAGGGUAGAAUUUAUGUCAGAAAUUGGGAGGUCACUGCCAGAAAACCAAUAGCCAGCUUUGAUCCAUGCUUGUGCUUUUGCAGGAUGCAAUUUUAAAGAGAGAAAUACAUGAAAGAGGAUGAUGAUAGUAAUUCUCGAUACCAUUGGAGCUUGCUUGAUAAAAAUACAAGGAAGGCAAAUGUACAAAGACAAAAGCAUGUAAAUGUUCCAGUCAGGACUCGGUUCUCAGUGCCACCGUUACCGCGUUCCCGUAUGUCACGGUUCCGCCAUGCUUUUUUAUUUUAUUUUUUAAAAACAUUUAAAUUAGUAUUUUUUUAAAUGUUUUUUAAUUGUCUUAAUUUAUUGAUUUCAAUAAUAAAAACAUUUUUAAAAAAAAAUAUUAUUUUAAUAUAUUUUAAAAUAAAAAAUAUUUUAAAAAAUAAUAUUUACUAAACUAUCAAACUUGCUUUAAACUAGACUCCAUUAAAACUUUGUAUUUUCUAUUUUAAAAAAUAAAAUAAUUUUAGUUUUAUUUUAAAAUAAAAAUUUUAAAAAAUGUUGUUAACUCAAAUGAAACUUAAUUAAGACACCUCAAUCGUUACCAAAUCGUUUUAGAAACUUGAAAUUGUAAUAACGGUGAUAGUUUAAAAUAUUUUUUGUUUAAAAAUAUAUCAAAAUAAAAAAAAAUAUUUUUUAAAAAAUAUUUUUGACAUUAGUAUAUUAAAAUAAUUUUAAAAAAUAUAAAAAAAAAUUUAAAUAUAAAUAAUUUUAAAAAUAUAGGUGUAUUCAGGAUGCAAUUUCAAUUUUAAAAUAUAAUUUCGAUAGAAAUAAUAGUUUUUCAAAAAUGUAUUAAUGAUAAUAAUAUUUUUUAAUUUUACCCUUCAAAUUAAAUCUAUGGUUGCUUUUCAAUAUUGAUAAUAAUAUUUUUCAAAUUUAUUGAUUAUUUUAUUAAUAAUAUUAUUUAAAAUACAAAUAAAAAUGUUUUUAAUAAUAAAAAUAAGAAUAUUUAUAGAACAAAUAAUAAUAUUUUUUAUAUUAAUACUUUUAAUUAUAAUACAAAUAAUAAUAUUUAGAAAUUUAAGACUCAAGAACCUUGGAUCCUAACACUGCACCCAAGAGAAUUGAAUCUUGAUGCAGGACCCAUUAGUCUUAGGUCGUGACAACAGACCCAACAGAAUUAGAUCCUGACAAUGAAUCCAAGAGAAUUAGGUCCUGAAAAAGCACAUAAGAGAAUUGUGUACCGCGAUCGUGGCUGCAGACCCAAGGUGCAUGGGUCUUGUCAUAAUGACCAAUGCAUGGUAACCCCAGCGCCAGGUGUCUACACCCUCAGGCAUGCUAAGAUACAGGGCCCAACAUUGUUGGGUCCUAAUUUUAAGGCAGGCCUAAAAAAUGUGCGUCCUUCUCGAGGUCGGGCCUAAAAUUGUUGAACGCAACUAGGACCUUCUGCUAAGGCAAGCCCAUAACACAUUAGCUUUAAGUCUUGUAACCAAGCAGGAUCCAAUAACGUUAGGCCUCAUUGUCCUAUUGGAUAUAAGAUCCAUGGCUAUUGGGUUCGGUUGUGUAUCAGCACCCAACACUAUUGGUUCCUACUGGGCACCCAACACUAUUGGUUCCUACUGGGCAGCAAUUCCUACCUCCAGCAGGAAAUUUAAAUUUUAAAAAAUAUGUUGAGAUAAUUUUUUUAUUUUUUAAAAUAUAUUUUUUAUAUCAUCAAAUACAAAUAAUACAAAAACAUCAAAAAAAUAUUAAUUUAAAUUAAAUAAAAAUGUUAAAAAAUUGAAAAAACUUUAAGCAUUUUUUAAUCGAAAAAACAAACAUUCUUUAAUAAAAAAAUUCAACCCAACCUGAAAUGAAAAACAAUUAUCAUAACCCAUCUUUUGCACAAUAUAAAAAAAAGUCUCAUUAAUUUAUUUCUUCUUUACCGUAUGAAAAAUAAAAUUAAAUCAGAGAAAAGAGAAGAAACCUUAGACCCAGUUAUAUUGGAAAUAUCCUAAAAUAUUUUUUAAAAAAAACAUGUAUUGAGAUGAUAUUUUUUUUUUGUAAAAUCUAUUUUUUAUAUCAUCACAUCAAAAUAAUACAAAAACAUCCAAAAAUAUUUAUUUGAAGUAAAGAAAAAAAAUACCAAAUUCUUUUUAAAUAUUUUUUGAAAAGCAAAAACAAACAUGUUUUAAUAAAAAACUUCAACCCAACCUCAAAUGAAAACUAUUAUCACCAGCCAACUUUUGUACAAUAUCAAAAAAGUCUCAUCAAUUUAUUUCCUCUUUACAGCAUGGAAAAAAAAUUAAAUAAGAAAAAUAAUUUAAAGAUAAAAAAAAUAAAAUUGAAAAUAUCUUAAAGAUGAAAAAAAAUUGGAAAUCCUAAACCCAAUGAUAUUGCCAAGCCAGACCCAAUAUAUGAAAAAACAAAUUAGAAAUAUCUUAAAAUAUUUUUGUAAGAAAAUAUAAUGAAAUAAUAUUUUUUAUUUUGUAAAAUCUAUUUUUUUAUAUCUUCACAUAAAAAUAAAAAAAAACAUCAAAAAAAUAUUAAUUUGAAUUAAAGAAAAAGGUUAAAAAUUUUGAAAUGUUUUUUUAAGCAUUUUUUAAACGAAAAAACAAACUUGUUUUAAUAAGGAAGUUUAACCCUACCUUAAAUGAAAAAAAAUUAUCAUCACCUAACUUUUGUACAAUAUAAAAAAUAUCUCACCAAUUUUAUUUUUUUUACCAUAUGAAAAAAAAAAUUAGAGAAAAAAAAAUCACAAACUAAAUAUCCUUGGGUAUGGUUGCGCAGCCACACCCAAGGAUAUUGGGUCCGGCUGCCCAACCAGGCCCAAGAUUGAUAUAUCUUUUGGAAUUGAUUUGGGUCCAGCUGGCCAACCAGACCCAACAUUAUUAUGUUAUAUUAGGCAAGAAGAUCCAAUGUUAUUGACACCUUUUGGAAGUGUUUUGGGUCUAGCUUAGUAGCUGGUUGUAGGGUCCAGCGGCCAAGUCAUACCCAACAACUUUUGGUAGAGAAGGUAAUGCCCCUAGCCGUAAUUCUUAACUAAAAAUGCAACUUCUUGACCAUUUAGAGUGCUAUAGUGUCGUCUGCAGUACAAUGUAUUUGUAUCCACAAUAAAUGCAUAAUACCCCCCCCCCCCGUGUUUUAAUACAUAGCAAAACCCAAACAAUGCAAUACACAAUGAAAUCACUCACAAUCUACAAUAAUUCACUAAUCUUUUUUAGGUUUUUUUAUAAUAUGAACACAUGUAAGUUGUGUGUGGAAAUUUAUGCUAUUUGAUUUUGCUAGUAUCAUAUCAGACCUAAUAAAGCUAUAAAGAUCACAGGGAAUAUUAUAGAAGAAAUUAUUUCUAGAGAUCCCUGUAGAUCAUUCAUAAUGUAUUCUACGACCUUCACUUUUCAGAUUGUAUCAGCUUCCUCUUUAAUAAAUAUCUUAUGGGGUUGUAAAUCUUCUCUUAAAUGAAUGCUUGCACAAAGUCUUUUAGAGAUCCCUAACGGUGUUGUUAGAAGACCCUUCAAAGAUCAAGUCAGUACGAUGUAUUUUGUAUGAUAAAAAGAUAUUAGUAAAGGUAUUAAUGAGCUUUUGUAAAGAUAGAAAAGAAAAAGGAGAAGAAGAUGUAGAUGUAAGGGAAGAAGAGAAUAAAUGUGUUCAUGUCUAAGAGCAUAAGGUUUCGAACCUCUUUUUUGUGUACUCAAGCUUCCUUUUAUACUACAUGUCUUGACUUGCUUCAUACGAUAUGUUAGGGGUAGAAAUGUAAUCUCGUAAUGAUAGAAUAAUAUUAUUAUAUUGUUGAAACUAUCACAUCUCAUUAAUAUAAGCAUGAACUACUUGUUCAUAAUUAAUUGGAUGUGAUGAGUAUCAUAAUCACUAGCCCAAACCUAGAGUAAGGGAGGCUUAGAGUGAUGUUACUUUUCAGCUAUACACUAAACUUAGAUGCAUUUGGGUUCAGUUUGUACAUUCAACUCAAGUGUAUUCGGGUUCAGCAGUACGCCAAAUUCAAUAGGAGUUGGGCUCAGCAUGACGUUGAACCCAAGAGGAAUUGGAUUCAGCGGUACGACGAUCUCAAUAGGAGUUGGGUUCAGCUUUAACCCGAACCCAAGAGAAAUUGGGUCCAAUUAUACACUGAACCCAAGAGGAAUUAGGCGCAUACAUGCCUCAUCCCAACUAGAGUUGGGCGUGAACUUGUCCUAACUCAACUUAGAGUUGGACGUGGAUGCAUCCGGGCCCAACUUUAAGUUAGGCAUGAACAUGUCACAGCUCAAUUUAGAGUUGAAGCUAAACGUAUUCUGCUCCAAUACAAGAUUGGGUGUAGAGAAAACAUAACUUAAUUUUAUAUUCAGAUUUUCAUGUGAUGUGAUGGUGGGAGGUUUUUAGAAAACCAUGACCCAUCAAGCCAUAGAGACCAAACAGCACGGCUGAGAGAAAAAGGCAGGCAAUUACGUGGAGAUGGAGUGUGGGGGCCAGGGUCAUAUCAAUUGCAAUUACUUCUUGGUAGGUUUUGUUUUGUUUCUUCAGAUUUCUAGAUUCAACAUUAAAGGUUCUUAUAAGAAAACAUUGCCAGCCCUCUUGUUUUCUUGGUCUAGCUUGGGCUAAAUGUCAAGGAAAGGGGUAGCUGUCUCCCUUAAUUUCUAGACUCAACAUUAAACGUUCUUUUAUAUAUAUAUAUAUAUAUAUAUAUAUAAAAGUCCUAAUUUGGCCCCUUUCAUUGUUCUCCUUUGCAGUUUUCUCAUGAUUUUGAGACAAUUUAAUCGCAAACCAACAUAGAGAUGCAAAAAUAGAAGUGCCCCUAGCUAGAUCAUUUGUAAUUCCAGAAAGGUAAGAAGUUAAAUUUGAAACAGUAAAUCAUUUUAAUUAGUGGCUUAUAUAUCCAUGUUUAAUAACGUACUUAAAUAAUUUUUUAUAAUUAAAUGAAGCCAGGUGAUAUUUUAUAGUACUUUUUUAAAUAAAUAAGUAUUAAUUAUUAAUUGUUUCCAUAAAAAGUAUGAAAUAUUUAUCUUAAAUUAAUUUAUUAUCCUCUAUUUAUAAAUUAGAUGACCACAUGAGAAUUAUUUUUUUUUUUUUUGAAAAAGUGUAGGUUGAAGAAGACUUAAUUUGAUUUGAUCCGACAGAUAUAUGUAACUUUAAACCAUUAAUGUCUUAGAGAUCUACAAAUAUAAUAACUUAAAGUACACAAACUUAUCAUGGCUCAGAUAAUUGCAAUUUUACUACCUGAGACAUUUAUUUUUCUCAUUUCAGUAUAUUGAGUUUUUCAAUUUCACCAAAAAUAGAAUUUUCAAAUUAAAAUUCUUUGGUAAAAAUAAAUUCAAAUUAUGCAGCUCUUUGGUAAGAAGAAGAAGACAGUACUCAAUCAUUCAUUUUUGUCAUUAUCAACACUUAAACCUCCUUGUUGGCCAAUGCAAGAGUUAAUACUAGUUGUUGGCCAAGAAGAAGAUUUUUUUUAAAAUGAGAUGAUCAAAUAUUUUUUUUAAUUUUUUUUAAUUUUUUAUAUAUAUAUAUCUCAUUGUAUGACUAUAUAAACUUUACCUAAUUGAAUGUAAUAUAUAUUAUCAAAUAAUAAUAUCUUUUUUCUAUUUUAAAUUUCUUCUAAUCACAGCUGCAUUUUAUGAUUGCUUAGAGCUAUUGGCAUCAGAUCUUAGCCAUAAUUAUUUUUACUGGAAGUAAUCCAGAAUAUUAGAGCUAUUGGCAUCAGAUCUUGGCCAUAGUUCUAUAAUGGCUGCGUUUUUUUCUUUCAAAUAAGUGACGCAAAUGAGAACAAAAGAAAAAGAAAAACACAAAAAGAAGAAAGAAAGACUUAAAUCAAACUUUGAAAUGUUUACAAAGUUUGAUUUUUGUAUUUUGAGUUGACCUCUAGGAACUUCUAAUUCCAGUCUUUCAAGAUAAGCGACAGGUCAGUUUUUUCUUUUGUAAAUGUUUACAACUCUUUAAAUACAUCAUAAAUCAAACUUUACAAACUUAAAAAAAUCAGAAUCCCAAGUCAAAUAAAAAAUACAAUAUAAAAUCCAGAAUCAAGCUAAAAAUCUAAAAAAAGAAGAAGAAAAUAUAUGGACCAUAGUAACAUAAUUGCCCAGUGGGUAUAGAGUUAUCCCUCCAAAGUUUGUUUCAUCAUCUUCUCAAUUAGCUGACAUCUUUACCAGGCCUCUUGGCAAAGAGGCAUUCUGCUAUAUCCUAGACAAGUUGGGGUCUAUCCAAUCUACAUGCUCCAACUUGAUGGGGAAGUAAUUGGAUUUCUAGAACGGCUACUUCUCUUGAUUCAUGCGGGGGAUCUCGAGCUUUAAUGAGCUUUCCUCACAUGUAAGUCAAUGAUCAUAUCAUCCUGUAAACACCCUUGAUUGUAUACAUCUGGAUUCUUUUCUCUUUUACCUUUGAUACGGGGAUUAUUCCAUGUAAGGAUUGCUAUCUUUACAUAUAAAUAGCUGUUAUAUGAAAUGAAAAUUAAGCCUUUUGGGCUAGCACUUGAUCUAUGAGAACCUACAAUAAAUAUGCAGAAAUUCUUGCCUGGAGAUUCUUGAGCUUCACGAUUCUUGUUCUCCUCUUAUUUUAUUUGCUAAGAGAUCAAGUGAGGAAUCCCGUUAAUUAAUUGUGGCAUCCAAAGAAUGAUAUUGACUUCGAAACAAGUUGGAGAACAAGGAUAAACGACAGUAGGAACUAAAGUUCUGAUGAGGUUACGUCUCAGAAUUUGGCAAUUACAACAGAGCUAGGAAUAUAGUCUUUCCUUUUUGCGCAAGGCUGCUGACUAUACAUCAAACACGAGAAAAACCAUGUUCAUAUUUAUCAUUUUUAUUUUGUUGAGAAUAAAGUUUCAUAUCAAGUAGUUUUAUUAACAAAGAAAUAGCAGUUUCCAACUUUCACCCUUGCCUUUUUGUCUACAUUGGAUCAGCAGAAGCCGUUUUCCUUGACUCCUGCCCGGCAUAAAAAACAUGGAAAUCACAGACCUUCACAAUACCUUUCAUUGUUCGUGCAGGAAAAAAAAAUCUAAAUAGAAAGAAACAAUUUUAACCAAGAAGUUUGACACAUGACCAAGGGUAAGUCACGUACGGUCACCUUGAUAAAAGCAGAGAAAACAGAGAAAUAACCCUUCUCAGUUCUCACCCUACCCUAUCUCUAUCUAACCAAAAAAUCGAGACAGCUUCUUCUUCUUUUUGUAGAAAAUCUUAUUGCACCAUUGCUUAAUGCAUACGGCAAGGAAUAUGAGGCUGAUUGGUCAGAUUAACCAAAUUUGUUUUGUUGCCACGCACAACAUCCUAUUCAAUCUUCGUGGUUUUGUUUUUCCUUGGAGAAGAAAUGCCCUUAAUUUUCCUUUUCUAGUUUGCUACUUUCCUUACGACUAUUCCCUUAAUGUUAUUGAGAUAGAAAGGGAGGGAACUUCUGAGAAGAUAUACAUGCUAUUAUGGUUUCAUAUCUACAAGCUGACUUUUGAAACAAUCAUCGAGACGAGUGCUUUUCCCUAAAUGCUGUUCUGAUAAUUGCGAUUGACACUAAAAUGCAGGUUGAUUCUGCUUUGCAUGAAGUAAAAAUGAGGGCUUCUAUCCAAAGCACUGGGUUCUCAUUCCAACUGUUGUAUACAUCUGGUUGUAAAGCUAUAGUAAAUGAUCUUACAUUGAUGUGAGCUAUGGACCCUUUUUGUUAGCCAACAAUCAUUAAGAUACAAAAGAACAGGAUCUAUCAUAAUAACUUAGAAAGAAUACAUACAAUUAGUUCAACCAGGAAGAAAAAAGGAGAGCUCUUGAGUUCUGUUCAUGAAAGCCUUUACUUCAGCGAGGUUCCAAGUCAGAUAUUGUUGCGUCAUUCACAGAAUAAAUUUUAUUCCUGAGAACACUGUCCUCCUCUUCAUCUCUUUUGGUUGAAAAAGAAGGCCUUUUUGGAGUGGCGAUAGGUGCAUUUUCAUUUUUUAGCAUCGAAGAAAUUUUUAACAUAGAUGGCCUGUCCAAAGGAUUUUCUUGGACGCAUAAUAGAGCAACUUGCAGGCAUCUUGUGAGUUUACAUGAUGAAAAGGAAUCGUCUAGCGAUGGAUCGAAAAACUCCACGCCUUCACCAUCUUUCCAUAAUUCAUAUGCCUGAAACAAUUUGAUAACCAUAUUGGUAUUCAAAUGCGGACUAUGGGAGAAAAAAAGUGAAUUAUGCAUUCAUAUAUUGGAAAAGAUGUGACUGAUCACUUACAUAUUCAAGAAGGUUCCAGUUUUCGUCUGCACCAUAGUAACAUGUACUCCUCUUGCCACUUAUGAUUUGCAGGAGAAGAACUCCAAAGCUGUAAACAUCAUAUUUCAUGGAGUAUAUGCCUUUUCUUACAUAUUCAGGGGGGACAUAACCACUGCAAUUCAAAAAAUAAAUAAGAAUGAGAAGAUUUAGCAAACAGUUCAUGUCGAAAUAUAUACCACUUUGAGACAAUUUCCUUACUAUGUUCCAACUAUCCUGCUUGUGUUUGCUUCGAGUUCAUCUUUCCUGAAGAGCCUAGCCAUACCAAAGUCUGAUAUCUUAGGGUUCAUUUCCUCAUCCAAUAGAACGUUGCUACUCUUUAUGUCUCGAUGAAUAAUGGUAAAAUUUGAGUAUUCUUGGAGAUAUAGAAGCCCUUGAGUAAGACCUUCAAUGAUUGAACGCGUUUUCUCCAAUCUAACAUGUAUCUUCUGACUGGAUCUACAUCGAAGUAGACCUUAAACAAUUAUUCGAGGUACAUUUAGAAGGUUGGCCAAACUAAGCUAGAGAAAAAGAUUCUACUGACCAUAGAUGUAGAAAUCCAAGCUCUUGUUCGGCAUGUACUCGUAGAUCAGCAUCUUUUCUUCCCUCUCGGUGCAAAAUCCCAAAACUGUAACUAUAUUCACAUGUUGAAGUUUUUCUGUAAGUGUGACCUCAUUUUUGAACUCCUCUUCACCUUGAGUCGAAGUUUUUGAUAGUCUCUUCACUGCUAUUUCCUUUCCGUUUGGUAGUUUACCCUGGCAAAGCAAAUGCCUCAAGCUGUCAUGUUUUCGUCCUUUCAAAGUCAUUCAAGACAAUUACUUGCCAAUAUUCUGUACCCUCGACAUCCUUCUUUCGUAUAGAAUAUAAACAUACAGCUUAUAUGUAAUUAGUGUUCUGCAGUGAAAGAAUCAGAACGCAUUUAUAUUUUGCCAAAUUUAUUUACCUUGUAGACAGAGCCAAAUCCACCUACUCCAAGUUUUUUUCACUCGAAAAGUUAUUAGUAGCCGCAGCAAUCGUAUCAAAACUGAGUGCUUGCAGAUUUGGAGCAUCGCUAUUAAUAGCUCUAGUAGCAGAUACUUUGAUUUUCACUGCAGAUAGUGAUUUUUGGACACUCCCAGCAAUUUCUGUUACCAUGAAACAAAUCAAAGAACUAACUGUAUCUUAAUCCUGUUGUAAUAAUUGCUGAACCAACUCAAAAUUUUGGUUAAUAUAUUUGGAAAAUUGUCACAACGGGAAGAUGUUACCUUUUGAGCCGAGUUUUUUCCUUCUAAAGUAACAACAAAUUAUGGUGCCCAACACGAGAAAGACCACAGCAAUCGUAACCAGAAUAGGUACCAAUACCUUCCUCUUGUUCAGCCCAUCUUCAUCUUUUCCCUGAGCUGCGAGCAUUUAUCAUCAUUAAGUAUUGUUUUAUGAUAUCUUUCUAUUGCAGUGAAAGCUCAUUUACUCUAUAAAACACACCUCACAGAACUUAGUAUUGCAGGGGAUGGCAUUUGAUAAUUCAAAAGCAAUUGAAACAUCUCUAGUCCGGUGUUUUUUUUAAAAUAAAGAGGAUAAAAUGGGGGAUCGAAAUUUCCACGAACAACCUACCUGCUCGAGAAAGAAUCCAAUUAUCGUCAUUGGAGAGCUGAAAUACGCUGUAACCACUAAGAUUGUUUUCCUUUGCAUAAGAAAUCUUAGCCUUGAUAGUCUCCACAUCAUCAAAAUUGAUCCAAAUCGACCCAACAACGACAAGCUUCGUAACAUAGGUAGAAUUGUACACUGCUGCAGCUCCAUAGCCAUAACCUUGAAUGAAAGAUUUAAUAUUCUUAUAACCCAUGGAACCAUCACGUGUUACAGCUGGACCCGAGGAGGGUGCCCCAAACUCUUUUUCGUUGGGGUUCACCAGUGUCCAUGCAUAACCAUGGUAAGGCAAACCCAAAACCAGUUUGCUAGCAGAUAAUCCUCCUCUUAGCCAUUCCUUUAUCCAUUCAUCGGUGUUAACCCAAUUUGAAGUGCCAUAUAAAGCAGCAUGUGCACCAGUAAAAUUAAAUUCUGCAGGCACAUGAUAGUCAUAUGCAACAAGAUGUAUCCAAUCUAAGGUCCUUUUCAUGAUGUCAAUAGGAUAAGUAGCCGAGUGCUGAGCAGGCGAGUAAGUAGCUGACAUUACCAAGAGCAACUGUGACUUGCCAGAUUUUCUUGAAUCAGAAGCUAUAGCGUCUCGCCACUCAUCGAAAAGGAUUCCUAGAUUGGUCAUGUUGAUGCUCAUACUUGGCCCAACCGAAAGGUCUAGGCCAUCAAAACCAUAAAGCCUCGCUGUAUAUAUCGAGGACUCGAUAAAAGACUUUCUAUAAGAAGACUGAUUUAUCAUUGAGGAAAAAGUUGGAAGACCCCCUCUCCUAGCCAAGAUGGAUAGAAGGGUUUUAACUGAAGGGUUCUUAACCCUGACAGUGCCUGUGAAGGUGGAGAAGUAGGAUUCUUUGGAAGAGUUAAUAUGAAUAUGAUAAGUAGAAGAAUUUAUACGAGAAAAGGCACAUACAAGGUGAGUAAAAAGAGCAGAAUUGAUAUUAGAAACGGGCAUUUCACUGAAGGAAUCCCAGUAACCUGCUCUAAUCCAGGUUUCUUGGGAGUUUGAGCUGUGAACAUAGGAAGAUAGAAAGAGAAGGAGGGUGAUGAUCAUAGUGUUGCAAGUCAUUGAAGAAGAAGCUUACUUUCGCAACCCCAGCAGGACUCCUAAUCUGUAUCCGUGAGAAGUGAAACUCUUGGAUCUGGGGCCUCGCAUUUUUCUGAAAGGUUAUUUGUUUGAAGUGUAAUAAACGAGAAUGAUUUGACUCCUGGUAUUUUUAGUCUAUGAUUUUUCCUAGAAGGAACAAUCAAUGUUCAAUUAGGUAUCACCUUGAUCAUGUUGCCAUGUGGUAGGACGAAAAAAAAAAAAAACUAUAAGCUUUUUUAAUAUUUUUUGUUUUGUUUUUAUAAAUGGUUUGGUGGCACCUUGUAGUUGUUAUUGUACAACGCAAUUUCCAGUCAACUUUUACAUCCUAAAAAUUCAACCUUUCUUUUUAAUUUUGUCAAGGAAAGAUUAUUUAUAUCGAUAUUAGAAAAUUCAAGAAAAUUUCUCUUCCAAAAUGACUGGAUUUUGAUGAGAUGUAAAAGUGACGAUCCUAAAAUACCUGAUAGAAAGUCGAGUGAUUUGACCAGCUUAGCGUGUCCACAUUCCAUUGAUUCUGAGUUUUGGGGCUCGUCCAUCCAAAUGAAUCAUUCUUUGCAUUAUCAGGUUAUAGUUUGGAUUGGAACGUGGUGGGAAGGAUAUUUUUUAAAGUAUUUUUUAUAAUAAAAUAUAUUAAAUUGAUAUUUUUUUUAUUUUAUAAAAAUUAUUUUUGAGAUUAGCUUUUUAAAAUGAUUUAAAAUAUAAAAAAAUUAUUUUUUUGUAAAAAAAAUAAUUUCAAACAUUCUCUUAAAGUAUUUUAAAAUUAUCUAUUAUUAGUUUUGAUACUAAAUAAAAAAACUAUUUUUGCUUGUGCUAAGACCCCAGCAAAAGGGGAUGUGCUAGGAAGUUUUCAGUUACUUGUACAAGUAGGUUUUGGCUUGCUCUUUGACAGGUGUCCUAAUUUCCCUCUUCAGAACAGAGAUGCUGAAAUAUCUCGUCUUUCCCCUCUUUUAGCUGUUUGCAGCAUCCAUCUUGUGCAAAAGAAAGCAAGGAAAAUGAUGGAGCCAACAAAAAAAGUCAUAACCGAGCCUGGCUGACAAGAGUCUCAACCGAGGCUGCCAACCACGAGCCCAACCGAGCUUGUCCCAAGCUCAACCUAAUUGUUACAUGCUAAUUUGGGACAAGCUCAACCUAAUUGUUACAUGCUAAUUUUUCACUCCGCGAAUAAACCCGUGUGGCAGCCUAGUUUCUCAUUACACUUAGUUUUUUCUCACCAAUUCCACUCAUAUUUACCUAGUAACUAAGUGUUUCCCUCACACGAGAGAUUUCCCCACUUUCCCAAGUUAAAAGACAAGCGGAAUACACAAGUAGAUUGCAUGCCACAAAGCAAAGCACACCGAGAAUACAAGAAGAACUCUCAUCCUUUAUUUAUCUCGUCAACAAAGGAUUAUAUAAUGAGUAUGUGUGCUAUGCACAAAAAUCAUAUGCUACACAUCCAAACUUACACACGUUAUUUCCUACCUACAAACAAGAGCCGCAACAACUAUUUAUAGCCAAGUAUGUGAGCUGCAAGACACACCCAUGAUGUCUAUUUUUCAAGACAUAGUGGGACACUUUCUCCCCCAUAAUCUCCAUGAUCUUAGAGGCCUAUUUUCCAGUAAAUAGUGGACAGUUACUGCCCAUGAUCCCAUGAUUCAGCAGCUUGUAGAGCAAUCCCCUUGAUAAGCCCCCAUGUUUUUCCCUAUGAUCCCAUGAUCUAGGAAGUCCAUAACUCCCGCUCACCCAUGUUCUUGCAUGCCCACCUGGCAGCCCCAACUAUCAGUUCUUGUUGCGUCAAUUGUUGCGUCAAUUGUUGAGUCACCCGUAUGUCUUGAACAGUCCUUCGUCCAAGUUUUAGAUCGUGUCAAUUCGAACCCAUGACUUGCACAAGUUGUUGCGUGCUGCCGAAUUCACAUUUGCGUGCAGGCUGCCAAUAUCUGUGCUGCAGAAUUCCAUGACAGCCCCAAUUCUCGUCAGCCUAUUUACCUGAUGAGUUUUCCUGUUUGGUCUGGACAUUCCAUCGUCCAGCCCAUGUUUGUCAACAAUCUGCGUUGCUGAUUUUUCUUUGACGAACCUACAACUGCAUAAAUCUGCGUUGCCAAUUUAUUCCACUAUUGGUCUAGCUGUCAGCACUCUUAAACACUGUUUUAGAUAGCCUGUCAAAGCGUGCACCUCGGGCGUAUUUAACCAUGUUACACUAACCCUUUUAUUUUUCAAACGAACCCUUUUUUCCCCAACUCAACCUAAUCCGCUCAUCUUUUAAUCGAAUCCUCUCUUUCUUGGCACAACUUAGCCUUCACGUUUCCCGACCCAACUUUUAUAUUUUGACAGGGAAUUUAUUUCGCAGGCGAGUCAGUUGAAAAGCUAAAAUCUAGUACGAGAAAGUCUCACGACUUCAUAGAAAAAAAAAAGAGAGAGGAAAGAGUGGAACCACAUUCAGGAGACAUCUGUGCUAAUAUUUGACCUGCGGAACUUCUUGAAAGAAGCAUCAUUUGAGAAGUCAGCCACAGCUAUUUUGAUAAAACUUGUUGCGUGGGCUGCAUCCAUAUAAUUCCACGUUCAAGAUUUCAAUCUAGAAAAGGAAUUGGUAACGUGUAGGGUCGCCAGCAUUGUUUCCGUACGUGAAGACUUUUGUGUAAGACUUGUGGUGGCCUUUGAUACGUCGACAGAGCAGUCUAUCAAAGUUUUUUUCAUAUAAAUUUUAUUUUGCUAUGACUGAUGAAUUUUAGCGGUAGCAAAAAUUAAGGUGGCCUGAAAGAGGCAUAUUGCAUGGCAUUAUAGUUAAGUUGCACAUCCUGAAUCAAUUCUUACAGAGGCAAGCCUCGGAGUUGUUUGAUUCCAUUAACAAUGUGCAUGCCGUCAAAACUUUUGCUGUAAAUUUCUGAUAAUAAUCUAGAAAAAACACAACGAGCUUGCUGUUCAAGUCUGUAAACAGAUUUAGCAUUUGCUUCAAGCUUCUGCAAGAAAGUACUUCCUCAUCGCCCGACGACUUGUGAAAUUGUUGCAUCAUCAACUGAACAAAUCUCUAAUUGCAAUUGCUCAGGUCUGUUUUUGUCAUCUUCAUCUGUCUUCACAGAAAAAGCAGGCCUUUUGGGAAUGGUCACAAUGGCAGUUUCGUUUUUGAGCAUUGAAGAAACUUCCACCAUAGACGGCCUAUCAAUAGGAUUUUCUUGGACACAUAGCAGUGCAAUUUGCAAGCAUUUGAUCAAUUUACAAGAGGACAACGUGUCAUCCAGCGAUGGGUCCAUGAUCUCCAUGCCUUUACCAUCUUUCCACAGCUCGUAAGCCUGCAAUUAACAAAAAUCACAAUCAUGCAUGACAAAUGCAAAAUCUAAAAUAUCGUCAGUUGUGUUAUCAAGAAACUUACAUAUUCUAGGAGGCUUAAAUUUUCACCAGAACCAUACAAGGACCAUUCUUCUUGCCGCUUAUGAUAUGCAGUAGUACCACUCCAAAACUGUAAACAUCAGAUUUUAUGGAAUACACGCCGUUUCUGACGUAUUCCGGAGGAACAUAACCGCUGCACAGGAUGAUUUCAUUCACAAUGUUAAGUUUUCAAAAAUAAUCUAUGUAUGAAAUGAACUUGUGCAUGCAUGAUGCUUACUAUGUCCCGACAAGCCGGCUAGUGUUUGCUUCUUGUUCAUCUUUCGUGAAAAUUCUAGCCAUACCAAAAUCAGAUAUCUUAGGCUUCAUAUCCCCAUCCAGUAAAAUGUUGCUGGCUUUCAAGUCUCGAUGGAUAAUUGUCAGUCUCGAAUAUUCUUGGAGGUAUAGAAGGCCUUGAAUUAUCCCUUCAAUGAUUUCUGCCCUUUUCUUCCAAUCCAACAAAUAUCGCCUAAUCGGAUCUGUCAUAUCAGAUAACAUGCAUAAGAAUGUCGGAAAUUGUAAUGCAAUGAAAGACUAGAUCACACUCAAAUCUUUUUUUAUUUCUGUAAAUCCAAGCAUAAAAGGAUGCUGAGUGCUAACCAUAUAGGUAACAGUCCAGGCUUUUUUUUGGCAUGUACUCAUAGACCAGCACCUUCUCUUCUCUGCCAACGCAAAAUCCCAAAACUUUCACGAGAUUUACAUGUUGUAAUCUUGCAGUGAGCAUAACCUCAUUCUUGAAUUCAUCAAAUCCUUGAGUAGAGGAUUUCGAAAGUUUUUUCACUGCUAUUUCUUGUCCACCUGGUAAAACACCCUGGAAAAACAGAAUGUCAUGCUAAUUUCUUUCACUCAAAGACUGAAAUCUGAAUGCUUGAAGAUUGCAAAGGGUUUAGAUUGCAGCAUUUAUAUUAUAUGCUAACUAUAUCUUCUCCUAUAUUUAAGCUACUGGAAAGUUAAAAUAGAAUUGAAGUCUAUCUCUAGUAUACGAGUUUAUCACAAUAUCAGUUUGCAAGUUAUCUUGAAUAUGCCUCCUAUAUCUUCCUGAUUCAACAGUUUGAAAGUUAUCUCCAGUAAAGAUAAGCAUGUCUUAUCCCUGCAAAAGAGAGAGAGUUUUCUAAAUGGCAGGAGACAGGCACUUAAUGACUCCAUUUUCACAAGUGGAACAUUUCUCUAGAAACGCUUACUCACAGUCCAUUCUUGCAAAUGGUUGCAUAUCUCCACGAAUCCUCAACAAAAUAUAGCAUCAUGAGUUGAAGAGUAAUGUCCCAUUGUAAUCUAUAAAGAAUAAUUAGUUAAUUGUAAACAGGGCCAAAUCCACCCUCCCCAAGCUUAUUUUCAAAUUCAAACUGGUAUGUAGCUUUCUCAAUAUCUGCCAAACUAUAUACUAUCAGAUCAGGAUUAUUGCUGUCGAAGUCGCCUGCUGCUGCCGCAUUAUUUACUUUCAACUUUGUUUCUUUACUCUUUGAUUUGAGGAUUCUAAUUCUUAUGAAAUAAAAUGCCAAGCCCAGUAGAAUAAUAACAGCAGCAGUUGUUGUCAAGAUGAUAAUCAAUGUAAGGGAUUUUGGUCGUCCUUCGUGUUUGGGAUCAACCCCUCCACCUGAGUCAACCCCCCCAGCUGAGUCAACCCCCCCAGCUGAGGACAUAAACAUAUUAUGUGAAUUAGUGAUCAGAAUUGUCUGUUUCCAGUAAAUUUUAAAAGAUUAUUCAAGAAUGAUUUAAAAGAAAAUGAUGCAGAUGUUUUGCAUAAAAAAAAAAAAAAUCACAGAUUAUUCAAGGAUGAUAAAUCAUUAUUUUUUGGCCGCCAGAUGGUACCAAUUGUCGAAUUUAUAUAGGCAGACAAUAUCCAACCAUCUAAACACACAAAAGAUUAAAAAAAACUGCAAGUAGGUACACAAUCCUGCAUUAUAUAUGACAAGCCUUAAUGACAAAUAGCUGAUGAUGGCCUUUUGGUUUUACCCUGAAGCAAGUAGGAAUUCAUAAGAAUUCAGAUAAAAAGAAUAUCUGGCAAGAUUCUCUAUAUAUUGCACCUUAACAAUCAAAUUAAUCAAUCAAGGCCAACCUCUUGACAUCAUUGUUAUCACGAUGGUCAAAGAACCAUUUUGUGGCUUAAGAACAUUCCCAUACCUGCUUGAGAGAGUACCCAGUUGUGAUCACCAGAAACUUCCCAUACAAAAUAUCCGAGGAGGGCCUUCUCCUUGGCAUAAGAAACCUUAGUUCUAACAACAUCAACACCAUCAAAACUAAUCCAAGUUGACCCUACGAUGCCGUAAUUUACCACAUAAGUGGAAUUGUAGAUAGGAUCAACUCUUCCGUUUGCUUUGAAAUAAUUAUUGAUAACUUUAUAGCUCAUGGAUCCAUCUUGUGUAACGGCUGGUCCUGUUGCUGGUGCGCCAAUGGCAUUUUCAUUCGGGCUUGCAAGUUUCCACGCAUAACCAUAGAAAGGCAAACCUAAAACCAACUUACUAGCCGGUAAUCCUCCAUUAAUCCAUGCUCUUAUUCCAAAAUCAGUGUUAACAUCACUAUCAGGAUCAUACAAAGCUGCAACAGCAGCAGUGUAGUUAGCCCAUGUAGGCAUGAAGUAGUCAAAAGCCAGCACAUGAGUCCAAUUCAAAUUCUUCCGUAUAGAGUCUAUAGGGAAACUCCCGGAAUCCAGUCUUGGCGAGUACCGAACGGCUGCUGUCAGGAUAAGUUCUGACAGGCUAGAGUUUCUUCCCUCCAAAGCAAUAGCAGCACGCCACUCUUCGAAGAGGGUACCCAUAAUGUCCAUGUUAUCGCUUGUGCUGGCCGAAACCCAGCUGAAGUCUAGCCCUUGAAAGCCAUAAUGCCUCGCUAUUUUUAUUGAGUCAUCUAUGAAAAACUUCCUGCAAGUAGAAUUGCCUGCCAUUGCAGAGAGUGUUGAAUAGUUUGCGCUUCCUCCUCCAAUGGAUAGUAAGGUAGUGAUCGAUGGAUUCUUCUGUUUUACGGUGUUUGUGAAGGCAGAGAAGAGUGGGUCAUCUGAGGAGGAGAUAGACAGGUGAUACGAAGAUGAAUUAAGGCCAGCAAAAGCACAAAUAAGGUGAGUAUAGAGGGUAGAAUUUAUGUCAGAAAUUGGGAGGUCACUGCCAGAAAACCAAUAGCCAGCUUUGAUCCAUGCUUGUGCUUUUGCAGGAUGCAAUUUUAAAGAGAGAAAUACAUGAAAGAGGAUGAUGAUAGUAAUUCUCGAUACCAUUGGAGCUUGCUUGAUAAAAAUACAAGGAAGGCAAAUGUACAAAGACAAAAGCAUGUAAAUGUUCCAGUCAGGACUCGGUUCUCAAUGCCACCGUUACCGCGUUCCCGUAUGUCACGGUUCCGCCAUGCUUUUUUAUUUUAUUUUUUAAAAACAUUUAAAUUAGUAUUUUUUUAAAUGUUUUUUAAUUGUCUUAAUUUAUUGAUUUCAAUAAUAAAAACAUUUUAAAAAAAAAUAUUAUUUUAAUAUAUUUUAAAAUAAAAAAUAUUUUAAAAAAUAAUAUUUACUAAACUAUCAAACUUGCUUUAAACUAGACUCCAUUAAAACUUUGUAUUUUCUAUUUUAAAAAAUAAAAUAAUUUUAGUUUUAUUUUAAAAUAAAAUUUUAAAAAAUGUUGUUAACUCAAAUGAAACUUAAUUAAGACACCUCAAUCGUUACCAAAUCGUUUUAGAAACUUGAAAUUGUAAUAACGGUGAUAGUUUAAAAUAUUUUUUGUUUAAAAAUAUAUCAAAAUAAAAAAAAAAAUAUUUUUUUAAAAAUAUUUUUGACAUUAGUAUAUUAAAAUAAUUUUAAAAAAUAUAAAAAAAUUUAAAUAUAAAUAAUUUUAAAAAUAUAGGUGUGUUCAGGAUGCAAUUUCAAUUUUAAAAUAUAAUUUCGAUAGAAAUAAUAGUUUUUCAAAAAUGUAUUAAUGAUAAUAAUAUUUUUUAAUUUUACCCUUCAAAUUAAAUCUAUGGUUGCUUUUCAAUAUUGAUAAUAAUAUUUUUCAAAUUUAUUGAUUAUUUUAUUAAUAAUAUUAUUUAAAAUACAAAUAAAAAUGUUUUUAAUAAUAAAAAUAAUAAUAUUUAUAGAACAAAUAAUAAUAUUUUUUAUAUUAAUACUUUUAAUUAUAAUACAAAUAAUAAUAUUUAGAAAUUUAAGACUCAAGAACCUUGGAUCCUAACACUGCACCCAAGAGAAUUGAAUCUUGAUGCAGGACCCAUUAGUCUUGGGUCGUGACAAUGGACCCAACAGAAUUAGAUCCUGACAAUGAAUCCAAGAGAAUUAGGUCCUGAAAAAGCACAUAAGAGAAUUGUGUACCGCGAUCGUGUUUGCAGACCCAAGGUGCAUGGGUCUUGCCAUAAUGACCAAUGCAUGGUAACCCCAGCGCCAGGUGUCUACACCCUCAGGCAUGCUAGGAUACAGGGCCCAACAUUGUUGGGUCCUAAUUUUAAGGCAGGGCCUAAAGAAUGUGCGUCCUUCUCGAGGUCGGGCCUAAUAUUGUUGAACGCAGCUACGACCUUCUGCUGAGGCAAGCCCAGAACACAUUAGCUUUAAGUCUUGUAACCAAGCAGGAUCCAAUAACGUUAGGCCUCAUUGUCCUAUUGGAUAUAAGAUCCAUGGCUAUUGGGUUCGGUUGUGUAUCAGCACCUAACACUAUUGGUUCCUACUGGGCAGCAAUUCCUACCUCCAGCAGGAAAUUUAAAUUUUAAAAAAUAUGUUGAGAUAAUUUUUUUAUUUUUUAAAAUAUAUUUUUUAUAUCAUCAAAUACAAAUAAUACAAAAACAUCAAAAAAAUAUUAAUUUAAAUUAAAUAAAAAUGUUAAAAAAUUGAAAAAACUUUAAGCAUUUUUUAAUCGAAAAAACAAACAUUCUUUAAUAAAAAAAUUCAACCCAACCUGAAAUGAAAAACAAUUAUCAUAACCCAUCUUUUGCACAAUAUAAAAAAAAAGUCUCAUUAAUUUAUUUCUUCUUUACCGUAUGAAAAAUAAAAUUAAAUCAGAGAAAAGAGAAGAAACCUUAGACCCAGUGAUAUUGGAAAUAUCCUAAAAUAUUUUUAAAAAAAAAACAUGUAUUGAGAUGAUAUUAUUUUUUUUUGUAAAAUCUAUUUUUUAUAUCAUCACAUCAAAAUAAUACAAAAACAUCCAAAAAUAUUUAUUUGAAGUAAAGAAAAAAAAUACCAAAUUCUUUUUAAACAUUUUUUGAAAAGCAAAAACAAACAUGUUUUAAUAAAAAAAUUCAACCCAACCUCAAAUGAAAAACUAUUAUCACCAGCCAACUUUUGUACAAUAUCAAAAAAGUCUCAUCAAUUUAUUUCCUCUUUACAGCAUGGAAAAAAAAUUAAAUAAGAAAAAAGAAAAAUAAUUUAAAGAUAAAAAAAAAUAAAAUUGAAAAUAUCUUAAAGAUGAAAAAAAAUUGGAAAUCCUAAACCCAAUGAUAUUGCCAAGCCAGACCCAAUAUCUAAAAAAAAAAAUUAGAAAUAUCUUAAAAUAUUUUUGUAAGAAAAUAUAAUGAAAUAAUAUUUUUUAUUUUGUAAAAUCUUUUUUUUUUAUAUCAUCACAUAAAAAUAAAAAAAAAAACAUCAAAAAAAUAUUAAUUUGAAUUAAAGAAAAAGGUUAAAAAUUUUGAAAUGAUUUUUUAAGCAUUUUUUAAACGAAAAAACAAACUUGUUUUAAUAAGGAAGUUUAACCCUAUCUUAAAUGAAAACAAAUUAUCAUCACCUAACUUUUGUACAAUAUAAAAAAUAUCUCACCAAUUUUAUUUUUUUUACCAUAUGAAAAAUAAAAAAAAUUAGAGAAAAAAAAAAUCACAAACCAAAUAUCCUUGGGUAUGGUUGCGCAGCCAAACCCAAGGAUAUUGGGUCUGGCUGCCCAACCAGGCCCAAGAUCGAUAUAUCUUUUGGAAUUGAUUUGGGUCCAACUGGCCAACCAAUCCCAACAUUAUUAUGUUAUAUUAGGCAACAAGAUCCAAUGUUAUUGACACCUUUUGGAAGUGUUUUGGGUCUAGCUUAGUAGCUGGUUGUAGGGUCCAGCGGCCAAGUCAUACCCAACAACUUUUGGUACAGAAGGUAAUGCCCCUAGCUGUAAUUCUUAACUAAAAAUGCAACUUCUUGACUAAAAACACAACAAAGGUAAUGCCCCUUUAGAGUGUUAUAGUGUCGUCUGCAGUGCAAUGUAUUUGUGUCCACAGUAAAUGCAUAAUAUUCCCACCCCCUGUGUUUUAAUACAUAGCAAAACCCAAACAAUGCAAUACACAAUUAAAUCACUCACAAUCUACAGUAAUUCACUAAUUGUUUUUAGGUUUUUUUAUAAUAUGAACACAUGUAAGUUGUGUGUGGAAAUUUAUGCCAUUUGAUUUUGCUAGUAUCAUAUUAGACCUGAUAAAGCUAUAAAAAUCACAGGGAAUAUUAUAGAAGAAAUUAUUUCUAGAGAUCCCUGUAGAUCAUUCAUAAUGUAUUCUACGACCUUCACUUUUCAGAUUGUAUCAGCUUCCUCUUUAAUAAAUAUCUUAUGGGGUUGUAAAUCUUCUCUUAAAUGAAUGCUUGCAUAAAGUCUUUUAGAGAUCCCUAACGGUGUUGCUAGAAGACCCUUCAAAGAUCGAGUCAGUACGAUGUAUUUUGUAUGAUAAAAAGAUAUUAGUAAAGGUAUUAAUGAGCUUUUGUAAAGAUAAAAAAGAAAAAGGAGAAGAAGAUGUAGAUGUAGAUGUAAGGGAAGAAGAGAAUAAAUGUGUUCAUGUCUAAGAGCAUAAGGUUUCGAACCCCUUUUUUGUGUACUCAAGCUUCCUUUUAUACUACAUGUCUUGACUUGCUUCAUACGAUAUGUUAGGGGUAGAAAUGUAAUCUCGUAAUGAUAGAAUAAUAUUAUUAUAUUGUUGAUACUAUCACAUCUCAUUAAUAUAAGCAUGAACUACUUGUUCAUAAUUAAUUGGAUGUGAUGAGUAUCAUAAUCACUAGCCCAGACCUAGAGUAAGGGAGGCUUAGAGUAAGGUUACUUUUCAGCUAUACGCUAAACUUAGAUGCAUUUGGGUUCAGUUUGUACAUUCAACUCAAGUGUAUUCGGGUUCAGCAGUACGCCAAAUUCAAUAGGAGUUGGGCUCAGCAUGACGUUGAACCCAAGAGGAAUUGGAUUCAGCGGUACGACGAUCUCAAUAGGAGUUGGGUUCAGCUUUAACCCGAACCCAAGAGAAAUUGGGUCCAAUUAUACACUGAACCCAAGAGGAAUUAGGCGCAUACAUGCCUCAUCCCAACUAGAGUUGGGCGUGAACUUGUCCUAACUCAACUUAGAGUUGGACGUGGAUGCAUCCGGGCCCAACUUUAAGUUAGGCAUGAACAUGUCACAGCUCAAUUUAGAGUUGAAGCUAAACGUAUUCUGCUCCAAUACAAGAUUGGGUGUAGAGAAAACAUAACUUAAUUUUAUAUUCAGAUUUUCAUGUGAUGUGAUGGUGGGAGGUUUUUAGAAAACCAUGACCCAUCAAGCCAUAGAGACCAAACAGCACGGCUGAGAGAAAAAGGCAGGCAAUUACGUGGAGAUGGAGUGUGGGGGCCAGGGUCAUAUCAAUUGCAAUUACUUCUUGGUAGGUUUUGUUUUGUUUCUUCAGAUUUCUAGAUUCAACAUUAAAGGUUCUUAUAAGAAAACAUUGCCAGCCCUCUUGUUUUCUUGGUCUAGCUUGGGCUAAAUGUCAAGGAAAGGGGUAGCUGUCUCCCUUAAUUUCUAGACUCAACAUCAAACGUUCUUAUAUAUAUAUAUAUAUAUAUAUAUAUAUAUAAAGUCCUAAUUUGGCCCCUUUUCAUUGUUCUCCUUCGCAGUUUUCUCAUGAUUUUGAGACAAUUUAAUCGCAAACCAACAUAGAGAUGCAAAAAUAGAAGUGCCCCUAGCUAGAUCAUUUGUAAUUCCAGAAAGGUAAGAAGUUAAUUUUGAAACAGUAAAUCUUUUUAAUUAGUGUGGCUUAUAUAUCCAUGUUUAAUAACUUACUUAAAUAAUUUUUUUAUAAUUAAAUGAUAGAAUAAACAUAUAUGUAGACAAUUAAUUUUAAAAUUAAUUGUUUAUAAUAGUGUUUUUCUUAUUUUGUUAAGCCAGGUGAUAUUUUAUAGUACUUUUUUAAAUAAAUAAGUAUUAAUUAUUAAUUGUUUCCAUAAAAAGUAUGAAAUAUUUAUCUUAAAUUAAUUUAUUAUCCUCUAUUUAUAAAUUAGAUGACCACAUGAGAAUUUUUUAUUUUUUUUGAAAAAGUGUAGGUUGAAGAAGACUUAAUUUGAUUUGAUCCGACAGAUAUAUGUAACUUUAAACCAUUAAUGUCUUAGAGAUCUACAAAUAUAAUAACUUAAAGUACACAAACUUAUCAUGGCUCAGAUAAUUGCAAUUUUACUACCUGAGACAUUUAUUUUUCUCAUUUCAGUAUAUUGUGUUUUUCAAUUUCACCAAAAAUAGAAUUUUCAAAUUAAAAUUCUUUGGUAAAAAUAAAUUCAAAUUAUGCAGCUCUUUGGUAAGAAGAAGACGAAGAAGAAGAAGAAGAAGAAGACAGUACUGUAAUAUCCGCAAUCAUUCAUUUUUGUCAUUAUCAACACUUAAACCUCCUUGUUGGCCAAUGCAAGAGAUAUUAAUACUAGUCGUUGGCCAUAUAAUUCCACGUUCAAGAUUUCAAUCUAGAUAAGGAAUUGAUAACUUGUAGGGUCGCCAGAAUUGUCUUAGUACGUGAAGACUUUUGUGUAAGACUUGUGGUGGCCUUUGAUACGUCGUCAGGAGCAGUCUAUCAAAGUUUUUUUCAUAUAAAUUUUAUUUUGCUAUGACUGAUGAAUUUUAGCGGUAGCAAAAAGGUGGCCUGAAGGAGGAAUUUGAGUCCUAGCAAAAAGGGAGAGCCGAACCCGAAUCUUUAUCGUUAAAUAUCACAACUAAAAUGCAAAUAUAUAAUCAUACACCUUUAUUUCGACAUUAUAACUUUACGUAUAGCAAGUUGUCCCAACACAUGAAGCCAGUGAGCAAAUUUAUUCAGAACUAACUGCUUAGUGGAAAGAGGCAUAUUGCAUGGCAUUAUAGUUCAGUUACGGAGUUGUUUGAUAAUAAUCUAGAAAAAACACAACGAGCUUUGCUGUUCAAGUCUGUAAACAGAUUUAGCAUUUGCUUCAAGCUCCCGCAAGAAAGUACUUCCUCAUCGCCCCACGACUUGCGAUAUUGUUGCAUCAUCAACUGAACAAAUCUCUAAAUGCAAUUGCUCAGGUCUGUUUCCGUCGUCUUCAUCUGUCCUCACAGAAAAAGCAGGCCUUUUGGGAAUGGUCACAAUGGCAGUUUCGUUUUUGAGCAUUGAAGAAACUUCCAGCAUAGACGGCCUAUCAAUAGGAUUUUCUUGGACACAUAGCAGUGCAAUUUGCAAGCAUUUGAUCAAUUUACAAGAGGACAAUGUGUCAUCCAGCGAUGGAUCCAUGAUCUCCAUGCCUUUACCAUCUUUCCACAGCUCGUAAGCCUGCAAUUAACAAAAAUCAUAAUCAUGCAUGACAAAUGCAAAAUCUAAAAUAUCGUCAGUUGUGUUAUCAAGAAACUUACAUAUUCUAGGAGGCUUAAAUUUUCACCAGAAUCAUACAAGGAGCCAUUCUUCUUGCCGCUUAUGAUAUGCAGUAGUACCACUCCAAAACUGUAAACAUCAGAUUUUAUGGAAUACACGCCGUUUCUGACGUAUUCCGGAGGAACAUAACCGCUGCACAGGAUGAUUUCAUUCACAAUGUUAAGUUUUCAAAAAUAAUCUAUGUAUGAAAUGAAUUUGUGCAUGCAUCAUGCUUACUAUGUCCCAACAAGCCGGCUAGUGUUUGCUUCUUGUUCAUCUUUUGUGAAAAUUCUAGCCAUACCAAAAUCAGAUAUCUUAGGCUUCAUAUCCCCAUCCAGUAAAAUGUUGCUGGCUUUCAAGUCUCGAUGGAUAAUUGUCUGUCUCGAAUAUUCUUGGAGGUAUAGAAGGCCUUGAGUUAUCCCUUCAAUGAUUUCUGCCCUUUUCUUCCAAUCCAACAAAUAUCGCCUAAUCGGAUCUGUCGUAUCAGAUAACAAACUAUCAAGGCUAUAAGCAUUUUAGAUCUUACUGACACGAACAUGCAUAAGAAUGUUGGAAAUUGUAAUGCAAUGAAAGACUAGAUCACACUCAAAUCUUUUUUUAUUUCUGUAAAUCCAAGCAUAAAAGGAUGCUGAGUGCUAACCAUAUAGGUAACAGUCCAGGCUUUUUUUUGGCAUGUACUCAUAGACCAGCACCUUCUCUUCUCUGCCAACGCAAAAUCCCAAAACUUUCACGAGAUUUACAUGUUGUAAUUUUGCAGUGAGCAUAACCUCAUUCUUGAAUUCAUCAAAUCCUUGACUAGAGGAUUUCGAAAGUUUUUUAACUGCUAUUUCUUGUCCACCUGGUAAAACACCCUGGAAAAACAGAAUGUCAUGCUAAUUUCUCAAAGACUGAAAUCUGAAUGCUUGAAGAUUGCAAGGGGUUUAGAUAAGAAGAAUUUUAAUGAGUAUUCGGUAUAUUUUCAUCACAACAGAAAAAGAAUUGUUACAUCAUUUAUAUUAUAUGCUAACCACAACUACCUCCUAUAUCUUCUCCUAUAUUUAAGCUACUGGAAAGUUAAAAUAGAAUUGAAGUCUAUCUCUAGUAUACGAGUUUACCACAAUAUCAGUUUGCAAGUUAUCUUGAAUAUGCCUCCUAUAUCUUCCUGAUUCAACAGUUUGGAAGUUAUCUCCAAUAAAGAUAAGCAUGUCUUAUCCCUGCAAAAGAGAGAGAGUUUGUUGGGAAAUCCGUCGACCGGUGAUGUACUGAUUAUUACUCAUAUGAAGGGUAAGCACACUGACACAAUAUUUUACGUUGUUCGGCAAAUCGCCUACAUCCACGGAAAAGACAAUAUUAUUAGUGAUAUAUAGAGAAAGGAUUACAACACACAUGGAGGAGGAGGAUCACUUCACUCACUCUACUCACUGCUCUUACAGCUGCAAUGGCUGCAGGGCUACUGCCCAUGGCAGCAGCUCUUUCUCUCCUCUUUCUCUUCACACUCUCUGCGUUCUCUCACUCUCUCAUUACUCUCAAAUAAUUAUGCCUCUUUUAUAGGCAUUUCAUGGUCAACAUGGAGGGGCCAAUACUGCCUUAAAACAUGGCAUGAAUUAUGGCAUAAUUCAUGCUCCCACUUGUACAAGUUGUAGUGGAGUAGUUACCACAAUAAUGACAACUUCCUAACAAUCACCCCCUUUGCCAUUUAUGUGGGCAGUUGUCCUCUUGAUUCUUCAGCAUAAGCUUGCAUCUUGCAGCUCUUCCACGCUUACCAUUCUAAGAGCGUCUGUGGCCAAGUUUACAGGUACUCGCGCAACCUUUCAAUCACCAGAGUCACCAAAGCACACCCUUGCUUACACCAAAGGAUCACUUCAACCAGAUGGUCUCACACAUCACAUCUGAAGAGUGUUCGCGUUUGUCUCUAGGAUACAACAUUCCCCUUUGAGCGUAUCAUCCAUGCUCGGUCCGGAAUGAUUCACCAAGCCUCACACCAAGGCUUACAACACCCCCUCAAACGGAUAUUCCAAGUGCGACAAUCAUUAUCUGAGUAUCUCAAUAUGAUCACUAGCUCACCACUCUUCUAAGAGUCUACUCAUCCUGGAGUUGCGCCUGCCCUCUGUUCCACCGUAGGAACCACACCUUACUUCUCCGUGAGUCUCUCACUCUUAGUCUCAAGAGUCCAGGUAGCUAUCCACCUUUAACCAUGGGGGCAGCCCAUUAAAGGUUGAUCCAUAUAUGUCUUGAUACUGUGAGUAUUACAAUGCCUUCACCGAGCUCACCACCUUGACAAGAGUCGACUUGUUCCCGGAACCUGCGCAUGCCCUCUGCUCCUUCAUAGCAGUCGCGUCUUAAUGCUCCACAAGUCAUCCACUUAUUGUCCAAGACAAAUGUCUUCUAGCUCAUUGAUCUUUAGCAUGGGGACAAUAUCCAUGAAAGUCAAUCCUGCAUUUGUCUCCAUACUCAUCAUAGUCACUCCAUUGACUAUACACCUAUCCACUUAUGUCUAGCCAUCACAUUGGCUCUAGGGCGUUCUGAACUGGGGCUCCUAUCCUGGCCCUCACACCUUCCUCUAAGGUGUCUCCGCCUGUUGUCAUGGGGCGGUCUCAUCCUCCUUCAUCGGGAUGACUCCAGUGGCUCCAAGAUUCUCUACCACCAUGUGGACUUGGGAGAGAUUACUGCCACUGAUUAUAUAGAAAGAGAAAGUUGCGGCAUACUCCUCGCAAGAUGGGGCGGUCUCAUCCUCCUUCAUCGGGAUGACUCCAGUGGCUCCAAGAUUCGCUACCACCAUGUGGACUUGGGAGAGAUUACUGCCACUGAUUAUAUAGAAAGAGAAAGUUGCGGCAUACUCCUCGCAAUCCUCCACCUCGAUUUCUAUGUAUGGAGCUUCUACGCCUUUCUACUUGACAGCUCCACCUACACCAAUUCUCUUUGAUGUCUUCGCCUUUCAUCAUAGGUGUUUGCACCCCCUCAAUUAGGUGCCUCUACAACAGCUCAUCUUUCCAUCCUUGCAUGCAUUGGAAAGGUCCUUGCUUGUUGCCUUUAUCAAGAGCACAAGAGACUUCCUGUUGUACAUCCUUCACAUAGUCUCUGCUCUGAGCUUCAUCUGGGAACUCUUCUUCUCCUUGCACUUAUUGUCUCAUAACAGUACCUCGUUGGAUCCUUCGGGUACUCUUGCACAAUCUCCGUGUGCCCUCGUGCAAUUUCUGUUCUCCAGAUUUCUCCAUAUUCCUUGCUUAUGUUUGACAGCAGCUCAUCCCGUCACAACACCUGACCAAGUCAAAAUAGGGUGUCAAUCUUUAUCCCCUUGCUGUAUUUCUCUUCCAUUAUCAGGGUCUUCAUCAAUCUCCCCUCGAGAAAUUAUAGUCACCGAAUCUAACUUCUUUGGAGAAAUCACCACUCCAUCAGAUCCUUGAUCAUACGGAACCCAACUGUUCCUUUGUGCCGUCGUCUUGCUAGUCUUCAACAGUUUCAUAACAAACUGUUACAUAUACGAAAAUAGUACCGUAUGGAUAAUCCUUCCACUAAGCAAGUUCCCAGGAAAGAUUGGAGGGGUCACACUCCUAAACAGAACUUCUUAGGCCAUAUCUAUCCAUUGUAUUGUCUUUUUGUAUAUACAACCAUUUGCUAGCUUUGUUGCGGCUUUCCUUUACAAGUGAUCUGGGUAUCCUGGUUUCAUACCUGAUUUCUCAACAUCUGGCGAGACUACCGGUGCUUAGAUUCAUCAAGAUUGGUCUUCGUCAAUUUUCACUCUCCACCUCUAAUUGUCCAUAUGACCAGGUGUCCAGAGUGUCCCAAUUUUACCUUCCAUCAAGGCAAUAAAUUUCCCCAUUUAGUAGUUCAGCACAUGUAAUUGGGCAAACAUGUGCACCUUCUUUUUCUUCAUCUCCAUCGACCUCAAUCCAGACCCUCAGAUGCCUCCUGAUCGGGCAAUCUAUCAUUAAUAAUACACCACUGCCAUUUUUGGUCUCGAAUUUCAACGAUCGGAUCGUACCAUUGCAUCCGGAAUGAUCAAAUUAGCUGGAAACAUGUCUUGAAUCGUCCAAAUCGCACUUCAGACGGCUAAGAUUUGAUCAAAACAAUUUUGCCCUAAUUAACGGCUCAGAUUCAAUCUCAGCUUUGGUUGCACGUAGGAUCAGCUACACUGGAUCCUAUCCCUCGGCUCGGCUCCAUCAGCUCGGCUCCACUUGGCUCAGCUCCAUCGGCUCGGCGCACGCUGCUGACAUGGCAUGUGGGCCCACUAUGUUGACGUCACCAUUACAUCAUGCUGAUGUCAUCAUGGGCCAUGCUUACUGUGCAUGAUGACAUCACAAAUACAUCAUGCGGAUGUCAUCCUUAUUCGGGUCAGCCACGUGGGUCGGGUCGGCCCGAGCGAAGAAGACGCGUGUGACACGUGGCGCAAGUCUGCGCGUGUGGGCAGCGACCUCGUCGGCGCGUGAAGAAGAGUCCGACCUCUGAUUUCGACGUCGUAUUCACCAGUGGCUUCGUCUCUUCCUCCUCUACACGGUGGUAUGGUCAAAACACAAUUUUGGCAACUUUAAUUUUUUAGCAAAAAUCAAACACCACUUAAACCAUAUGCUCUGAUACCAAUUGUUGGGAAAUCCAUCGACCGGUGAUGUACUGAUUAUUGCUCAUAGGAGGGGUAAGCACACUGACACAAUAUUUUAUGUGGUUCAGCAAAUCGCCUACAUCCACGGGAGAGACAAUAUUAUUAGUGAUAUAUAGAGAAAGGAUUGCAACACACAUGGAGGAGGAGGAUCACUUCACUCACUCUACUCACUGCUCUUGCAGCUGCAAUGGCUGCAGGGCUACUGCCUAUGGCAGCAGCUCUUUCUCUCCUCUUUCUCUUCACACUCUCUGCGUUCUCUUACUCUCUCAUUACUCUCAAAUAAUUAUGCCUCUUUUAUAGGCAUUUCAUGGUCAACAUGGAGGGGCCAAUACUGCCUUAAAACAUGGCAUGAAUUAUGACAUAAUUCAUGCUCCCACUUGUACAAGUUGUAGUGGAGUAGUUACCACAAUAAUGGCAACUUCCUAACAGAGUUUUCUAAAUGGCAGGAGACAGACACUUAAUGACUCCAUUUUCACAAGUGGAACAUGUCUCUAGAAAUGCUUACUCACAGUCCAUUCUUGCAAAUGGUUCCAUAUCUCCAUGAAUCCUCAACAAAAUAUAGCAUCAUGAGUUGAAGAGUAAUGUCCCAUUGUAACCUAUAAAGAAUAAUUAGUUAAUUACCUUGUAAACAGGGCCAAAUCCACCCUCCCCAAGCUUAUUUUCAAAUGCAAACUGGUCUGUAGCUUUCUCAAUAUCUGCCAAACUAUAUACUAUCAGAUCAGGAUUAUUGCUGUCGAAGUCGCCUGCUGCUGCCGCAUUAUUUACUUUCAACUUUGUUUCUUUACUCUUUGAUUUGAGGAUUCUAAUUCUUAUGAAAUAAAAUGCCAAGCCCAGUAGAGUAAUAACAGCAGCAGUUGUUGUCAAGAUGAUAAUCAAUAUACGGGAUUUUGGUCGUCGUUCGUGUUUGGGAUCAACCCCUCCACCUGAGUCAACCCCCCCAGCUGAGUCAACCCCCCCAGCUGAGGACAUAAACAUAAUAUGUGAAUUAGGGAUCAGAAUUGUCUGUGUCCAGUAAAUUUUAAAAGAUUAUUCAAGGAUGAUAAAAGAUUAUUCAAGAAAGAUUUAAAAGAAAAUGAUGCAGAUGUUUUGCAUAAAAAAAUGUAAUCACAGAUUAUUCAAGGAUGAUAAAUCAUUAUUUUUUGGCAGCCAGAUGGUACCAAUUGUCGAAUUUAUAUAGGCAGACAAUAUCCAACCAUCUAAACACACAAAAGAUUAAAAAAAACUGCAAGUAGGUACACAAUCAUGCAUUAUAUAUGACAAGCCUUAAUGACAAAUAGCUGAUGAUGGCCUUUUGGUUUUACCCUGAAGCAAGUAGGAAUUCAUAAGAAUUCAGAUAAAAAGAAUAUCUGGCAAGAUUCUCUAUAUAUUGCACCUUAACAAUCAAAUUAAUCAAUCAAGGCCAACCUCUUGACAUUAUUGUUAUCACGAUGGUCAAAGAACCAUUUUGUGGCUUAAGAACAUUCCCAUACCUGCUCGAGAAAGUACCCAGUUGUCAUCAUGAGGGACUUCCCAUACAACAUAUCCGAGGAGGGCCUUCUCCUUGGCAUAAGAAACCUUUGUUCUAACAACAUCAACACCAUCAAAACUAAUCCAAGCUGACCCUACGAUGCCGUAAUUUACCACAUAAGUGGAAUUGUAGAUAGGAUCAACUCUUCCGUUUGCUUUGAAAUAAUUAUUGAUAUCUUUAUAGCUCAUGUAUCCAUCGUUUGUAACGACCGGUCCCGUUGCUGGUGCGCCAAUGGCAUUUUCAUUCGGGUUUGCAAGUUUCCACGCACAACCAUAGAAAGGCAAACCUAAAACCAACUUACUAGCUGGUAAUCCUCUAUUAAUCCAUGCUCUUAUUCCAAAAUCAGUGUUAAGAUCACUAUCAGGAUCAUACAAAGCUGCAGAAGCAGCAGUAAAGUGAUCCCGUGUAGGCAUGUAGUAGCCAUAAGCCAGUACAUGAAUCCAAUUCAAAUUCUUCCGUAUAGAGUCUAUAGGGAAACUCCCGUGAUCCAGUCUUGGCGAGUACUGAACGACUGCUGUCAGGAUGAGUUCUGACAGGCUAGAGUUUCUUCUCUCCAAAGUAAUAGCAGCACGCCACUCUUCGAGGAGGGUACCCAUACUGUCCAUGUGAUCGCUUGUGUUGGCCGCAAGCCAGGUGCAGUCUAGCCCUUGAAAGCCAUAAUGCCUCGCUAUUUUUAUUGAGUCAUCUAUGAAAGACUUCCUGUAAGUAGAAUUGCCUGCCAUUGCAGAGAAUGUUGAAUAGUUUGUGCUUCCUCCAAUGGAUAGUAAGGUAGUGAUCGAUGGAUUCUUCUGUUUUACGGUGUUUGUGAAGGCAGAGAAGAGUUGGUCAUCUGAGGAGGAGAUAGACAGGUGAUACGAAGAUGAAUUAAGGCCAGCAAAAGCACAAAUAAGGUGAGUAUAGAGGGUAGAAUCUAUGUCAGAAAUUGGGAGGCCACUGCCAGAAUACCAAUAGCCAGCUUUGAUCCAUACUUGUGCUUUUGCAGGAUGCAAUUUUAAAGAGAGAAAUACAUGAAAGAGGAUGAUGAUGAUAGUAAUUCUCGAUACCAUUGGAGCUUGCUUGGUAAGAAGACAAGGAAGGCGAAUGUAGAAAGACAAAAGCAUGUAAUGUUCCACUCAGGACUCAGUUCUCAAUGCCACCGUUAUAAAGUCCCCGUAUGUCCCGGUUCAGCCAUGCUUUUUUAUUUUAUUUUUAAAAAAAAAUAUUAAAUUAAUAUUUUUUUUAAUUUUCUUAAUUUAUAGAUGUUAAUAAUAAAAAAAUAAUUAACAAAAUCUUAUUUUAUAUAUUUUCAAAUAAAAAAUAUUUUAAAAAAUAAAUCUCUACUAAACUCCGGAACAUGCUUUAAACCAGACCCCAUUAAAAUUUUAUAUUUUUUCCCUUAAAAAUAAAAUAGUUUUAAUUUUAUUUUAAAAUAAAAUUUUAAAAAAUAUUGUUAACAGAUGAAACUUAAUUUAGACGCCUUAAUCGUUAUCAUCUUAAUCCAGUUGAUGAACGGGACCAGAAAAUAAAGUGAAAUAAACCAAACACCAUUAAAUUGCUUUGUCCUUGUCCUUGACAAGUCAAUUAAUAUCAAGGACAAUAAACCAAACACCACUAAAUUGCUUUGUCCUUGUCCUUGACAAGUCAAUUAAUAUCAAGGACCCAGAUAUUGACAAUACGCGGUUUGUUUUUUAAAGAAAGUCUUUCAACAAAUAAAAUUAGAUAAUUUAAAUUUAAAAUCUAAUUUUAUUUUGUUUUGAGAUAUUUGUUAAUAAUUUACCUAUGUUUAUAUAUAUAUAUAUAUAUAUAUAUAUAUAUAUAAUUCUAUCAUGUUUGCUUUUUUUUUUCUCAGAUCUGUUAGUUCUAUCAAUUGAUUUUUUGAAUUCUUGUUAUAGUGAUUUUUUUUCUAAUUAAUUAUAUAUAUUUUAUUAGUUUGUUUUGAUUAUGGUUGGAUUUUUUAUAUAUAUUUUAUUUUUAGUAAAGUCAUCAAAAUUAUCAAUUUUUUCCUUACAAUAUAUAUUUUAUUUUAGGUUGAAUCAUGAACAAAAUAAAGAAGAAUUGAUUAUUUUUUUUAAAUCAAUAUUGAUAACUCACAACCUAUUAAACGAGCUUUUUCAGUAAUAAAUAUUGUUAUAACAAGACUUCGCAAUGUCUGGGUCCUAUAUAUACACACACACAGAUAAGAACCAAGGGAUUAUGAAAAUGAAGGUCAAUUUUUUAGGUUUGUUUUAUAUUAAUUAUAUGUUCUAUUUUUUUAUAAUAAAAUUUAUAUAAUUAUUAAUUUUAAAAUUUAUAAAAUUAAUUGAGACAGGUACAAAUUCAUCUUGACACCAACUAAAUAAAAAAUAUGAAAACGAAAAGAUUGACAACUCGUUAUUAUACUUAUUUCUCGUUGGUACAUGUUUUGGAUGGUUGUGCUUAUCCUGACAUUGUUGGAAGUUGAAGGAAUAAGUCAGCUAUUUUGACCAUUGGUGAUUGGUUUACAAGAAAAGUAGGCUAUUUGACUAUUAGUGAUUGUGAUUUAUUACAUGCCGCUCAAAGUGCGUCGGUGUUGAGCACUAAACUUUAACACUAUUCUUUUUGUAUAGUAUUUAAAUUAUUUAAUUUAAAAUUUUCAGCCUAUUAAAAUGAUUAAAAGUAUAUAUUUUAAAAUCAUUAAUUUAAUAUUUUUUAAGCAAAAUAUAUAAAAAAUACAAAGUCUCUCUCUGUGUAUAUAUAUAAUAACUGUUGGUGUCCAUACUAACUUAUACGUAUCUUAACCAAUCCUCUAAGGUAUUGAAGUUAACGAUCAGGUAAAUUUCUAGUGAUAAUGAGAUUUAUAACACUUAAAUUAAUAAUUUUUAAAAAGAUAAAUUUAAAAUUUAACUAUAUUCCCUAAAAUUAUUAUCUUGAUGGUACUAGAGGAAUAGGUAAAUAACCAUUACCCUGAUACUCUUAGGGUAGAUGAUGAUCAGGAUGAUGUCCCUACUAUGCAGUUGAUAACUGCAAGGCAGAGAAGGAGACGUGGUGCACCCGUGCCUCAAUAUGUUGAUGAGGUACCUCCACCAGUGGAGGAAGAGCCUCAGGAGAUAGAAGAGGAAGAUAUGGUUGAUGAAACAGGUGUGGGGUAGCUGACCCUGAGCCUGUUACAGAGGUUCAGCAACUUAGCCAGGUUGUGUAGACUUGGAUAGAGUUUACUAUGAAGAGAGACAUAAUGAGGGAUAGAGAUGUACCCUCGACAUCCCACACUGUUCAGGGAGUUAAUGUGCCAUUGAAUGACUUUAUGAAGUUGGCACCUCCUAUUUUUACUGGGAUAGACAGUUCAGAGGAUCCUCAGAGGUUCCUAGAUGACAUUUGGCGACGGUGUGAAGCUUUGGGAUGUACAGACCACCGAGCUGUGAGUUUGGCAUCGUUCAGGUUGGAAGGAGAUGUGGCAAUCUCUUGGUUUGAGUCUAGGAAAAGAGCAAGACCAGUAGAGACUCAAUGGACAUGGAAGGAGUUUAGCUGCAUGUUCUUAGACAGGUUUCUCCCUCAGAGCAUCAGGGAUGCUCGACUUUAUGAGUUUGAGAGGCUAUCUCAAGGGAGCAUGACAAUGGAUAAGUAUGAUCUGAAGUUUACUCAACUAUCUAGGUAUGCAGAACAUCUUCUACCCACUAAGGAGUGGAGGGUGAAGAGAUUCAUUAGAUGACUCAAAUCCUCUAUGUAUAUGGUAUUGGCGCCACAAGUGUUUUCAUCCUACUCCUCAGCUGUUGAUAGCGCCAGAUUGCUAGAGACGCGUGAAAUAGAUGACAUGACUACUGGCCAGUCUAAGAGGCCUAGAGAAAAGGGUCAGUCUUUUAGGCAAGAAGGAUUAAGUACAGGUUCGUCUAGGGGACGAAGUGGCUGUCAGGGCUCAUGGGUUCAGAGGAGGUUUAGACAGAGACCGUCAGGUAGUGGCUCAAGCGGUCAGAGUGGCAGUAGUGGUACCCAGAGUUUAGUUCAGACUGCACCUCGUAGUUCAUUUGUUUCAUCUGGGGAUAGUUCUUUGUGCCAGCACUGUGGAGGAGGUCAUACUAGUGCAGAGUGCUACAGAAGGACUGGGGUUUGUUUUAGUUGUGGCCAGAUAGGUCAUAAGAUUAGAGAGUGCCCGAGGAGACAGUUGUCCACUUCGGGGUUAUCUGCUUCAGUCCAGCAUCCUAUUCAGGCACCAUCGACGAGCCAGUCUGUGGCUCAUGGGGGUAGAGGUUUUGGUGGCCGUGGUCAAGAGGUCGGGGUGCAGGUGAUAGAGGUCAGAUACAGCAGGGUCAGGGGCAUGCCAGAGUUUUUGCCUUGACUCAGCAGGAUGCUCAGGCAUCCAACACAGUUGUUUCAGGUAUUCUUCCUGUUUGCUCUUUUGAAGCAAAAGUUUUGUUUGAUACGGGUGCAACUCAUUCGUUUGUGUCCCUAUAUUUUGCCAUGAGGUUAGAUAAACAACCAACCUUGUUAAAAUCCCCCAUUUCAAUCUCCACUCCCUUAGAUGAGUUAAUAUUAGUAAAGUAUGUGUAUCUGGAUUGUGAAAUAGAGAUUGGAGAUAAGAUCUUUAUGGGAGACUUAAAUGUUUUAGAUAUGGUUGAUUUUGAUGUGAUUUUAGGAAUGGAUUGGUUGGCGAAGCAUAGGGCUUUGGUAAAUUGUUGGGGUAAGAAAAUAAUGUUUGAUCUAGAUGAAGAAGUUGGGUUGGUAUUUCAAGGAGAUAAGAUUAGGUCUCCAUCAAUUAUGUUGUCGGCUAUCUCGAGGAAAAUGGCCCGAAAAGGGGUACAGUGCUACCUAGCAUAUAUAGUGGAUGUAGAGAAAGAAGUUCCCCUGUUAGAUGAAGUCCCUAUAGUUAGAGAGUUUAUCGAUGUCUUUCCUGAUGACUUACCUGGAUUGCCUCCGUAUAGGGAGAUUGAGUUUUGUAUUGAUUUGGUUAGGGGUGUUCAAAAUAACCGAUUAACCGAGAAAACCGACAAAACCGAAAAAAAUUAACCGAAAAAACCGAACCGAAAGUAAAAACAGAUUAAACCGAUUUAAAAAACCAUAAAUGUUAACAGGUCCGGUUUGGUUUCGGUUUUGACCCAGAAACCGAGCCAAACCGAACCGGACCCAUUAAACCAUUAAAAAUAAAAAGUACUAUAAAUAGUUAAGUUAACCUGGCCUACCUCUCUAACCCUAACAUAUUCUCAUCUCAGCCAUCUUCAUCUUCCUUCCCAUUUUCAACAAAAACCCAAUCUUCCUUAAUAUUUAAUUCACAAUCUUCCUUUUCCAGAAACCUUCUUCAUUGAAGCAACGACAGUAAGGUAAACGACUAAAUUCUAUCUUCUUUGAUUCUUUGUUUCAUGGGUUUGAAUUUUGAAAGUAUUUUCUAAAUUUCCAAGUCUAUUCCAUCUUCAUCUUCAUAUUUUUAUUUUCCAGAAAUCAUCUCCAUCUUCAUCUUUCCCAGAAACUGUCUCCAUCUUUCAGGCGUCUUCAUUUUAACAACAACAGCAAGGUAAAUUUCAUCUUCAUCUGUGAUUCUUUGUUUAGUGACUAAACCCCCAAACCCAUACAAAGUACGACCUUGCCUCUUAAGAGCAUAGACAACAUCCAUGACAGUGACAGUCUUGGGCCACAGGCUAGACAAAUAAGACUUAAAUCUGACUCACCAGAAGAGGAAUCGUUGUUUGCUAGCCUGUGUAAUAAUAAGAGCCCCCUUCCCUGAUUCCGAUCCUGUUGAUGUUUUGUGCUUAGAGUGGGCGAGCUAGAAUCCUUAUGUCAGGUUGGUUGUUCAAAAGACACCUUAUUGUCUCAUGAGUCCCGUGUUCUAAGCAGCUCUUGCGCUCUCAAUCCCGUUAUCGGAAGAACUUCCCCCCUUUCCCCAGCAGUAGAUUCUUCUUCAAUUGCUAACGAUGCCCAUUCACUAGGAAAGGGAUUCCUAUUGAGCUUGACUUUAUAAAGAUUCUUUCCUAGGAACAUAACUUUCGGCCACAAAAUUGAGAAAAGAAGCUAGGUGCGGCCCUCCAUCCAUGUCCUUCCUCUCCCUUUUCCUCCCAUGCUCCUUAAGCCACCCGUUAAUUAAUGUAUAAAACUAAUUAGAUGAUCAAAAAGACCUUCACAGUUCACAUGCAUAUAUAUUUCUGUUGGUGUACUGUCGGGUGAUGAGCAAAAGUAACAAUUACGUGGCAAUGGCAUGGAUAAGACAGCAAUAUUUCGCUAGCUUUAUGCAAAUCCUCGGUGAAGAAAUAAGAAUAUCCUGGGAACCCUGUGCUAUGAUCACAACCGUUGAUAUAUUCCCACGUCAUUCCAAACAUUUGCAUAAUUCUCUUACAGAUCAAAACUCGGCCAUUAAAGCAAACGUGACAUGGCUUACUAACUGUGCCCAAUGGGGGUGAAUCCGCUAUUGAAUCAUCCGCCGAGAGGAGCCCAGUGAUCAUUUGAAGAAAGCCCCAAACCUGACGUCAAGGUUAUCCAAGACCUAACUAAACUUAUACUCUAGUUACAUACACAGGCGCUCUGGCAUAAGUAUAUGCAUCUCCGUGUGGAUCAUACCCGAAGUAGGACUUUUUUCCUGACCCCUGAGCGUCUUAGAAUAGAACCCCGAAUUUAUUAUUUUUAUUAAGGAAGGGUCACGCCCCGCUCGUCGGGAACCCGAGCUUUGCCAUUAAAGAAAGUGUUUUUUUGUUUUGUCUUCGUGCACCGAUUAAAUUGAGCAUAAAUUGAUGGAAUAUUGGACGUCUGCUGCAAUAUUUAAACUGUGCUAAAGGCAGAUGAUGAUGCAGAGAUGACUAGUUUCUUCUUGUUUCUUUGGUUCUUUUUCAUUUUUCAAAUCGAUGGAAAGAGUUUGUUAUUAAAUUGAGCAUGUUCGAAUGACUGUUUUGUUUUGUUUCAUGCUUUCCAUUUUGUUCUGUUCUGUUUUGUUUCAUGCUUUCCAUUUUGUUGACUAUUGCAUUUUCUUUUCCAGAUGUAAAUAUAUGUUUUGUUUGUUGGGUCUUCUACUGGAAUGUACGACAGAAUUGUUUGAUUGAUGUUGUUGUUGGUUUCUUAAUUUCAGAUGGCUAAUCGGGAAGAUCCUACACCAAUUGAAUCAAAUCCUUCAAGUUCGGAACCCAAUUCUUUUCCUAUUCCAAUUCCAAUUCUAGUUGCUACUUCUAGUACAAAUAGCAACACUGAAAGUGAAGGUAAUCCAGCCUCUAGAUCAAAUAAAAGAAAAACAUCUCAAAUUUGGGAUCACUUUAAAAAACUAGAUGGUAAUGUUAAGGCUCCUAGGGCUGCAUGUAUAUAUUGUGGAAAAGACUAUGCAUGUCAUACUAUACUCAAUGGGACUAGUAACAUGUGGAGUCAUCUAAAUAUAUGCAAAAAAUUUCCUUUUUUGAUUGAUCGAAAACAAAAAAAUUUAGUCUUAGAACCUAAGCCUAUAAUAAAGGGGGGUAAUAAUGGAGAGGAAAAUAUGGUGACUGUUAAGGCGGUGGGUUAUAGUUAUGAAGAGUGUACGCAAGCCCUAGGAAAAAUGAUUAUACUUGAUGAGCUACCAUUUAACUUUGUUGAAAACCAAGGAUUUAAAUCAUUUUGUCAAGUAAUGCAACCUAGAUUUGAUGUUCCUUCUCGUUUGACGAUUUAGAGAGAUUGUUUGAAAAUUUUUGUAGUUGAGAAAGAAAAAUUAAAGAAAGCUCUUAAGGAUCAACGUGUAUGUUUAACAACCGAUACUUGGACAUCAAUCCAAAAUAUUAAUUAUAUGUGUUUGACUGCCCAUUGGAUUGAUGAAGGUUGGAACUUGAAUAAAAGAAUUUUAAACUUUUGUCAAGUUUCUAAUCAUAAAGGUGAAACGAUUGGCCAAGCAAUUGAGAGUUGUUUGUUGGAAUGGGGAAUUGAUAACAUUUUAACUGUUACAGUAGAUAAUGCAAGUUCAAAUAAUUUGACAAUAAAAUAUUUGAAGAGAGUAACAAGUAAUUGGGCAACUAAUAUAUUGUCAAAUGACUUUAUGCAUGUUAGAUGUUGUGCAUAUAUUGUUAAUCUUAUUGUAUGUGCGGGAUUGAAAGAUAUUGAUGAUUCAGUUGUUAAGAUUAGGAAUGCAUUGAGGUUUGUUAGAUCUUCUCCUUCUAGACAACUUGUUUUUAACCAAUGUGCCGAGAGGUUGAAAAUUAGGAGUAAAAAAUAUGUUUGCUUGGAUGUUGCAACUAGAUGGAACUCUACAUAUAUGAUGCUAGAUGCGGCUGAUAAUUUUACAAUUAAGGUUAAAGAUACUUUGCUAAGGUUGUUUGAGCAUUAUAUGAAUGUUGAUGAGAAUGAUGAGGUGGUUUAUAGUGUUGUAACUAGUAUAAAUGAAAAUGUUAAUGUUGAUUUAAUGGCGGUAAAUGAUGAUAUGUUGGAUGACUUGGCUACUGAAUUCAAAAAACAUUUAGAGGAAGAAGGGGGUGCCUAAAAAAAAAAUGAGGUUGAGAGGUAUUUGAGUGAUGAUUGUGAGGAUCCUAAUGAUUUUAAAUUAGAUAUUUUAGGUUGGUGGAGAUGUAAUGCUACAAAAUACAAGAUUCUUUCUAAGGUAGCACAACACGUGUUAGCUAUUCCAGUAUCUACAGUUGUUUCUGAAGCGGCUUUCAGUACUGGUGGUCGUAUUUUAAAGGAUGAUUUUAAGGGAUAUAACUGAGAUGAUUAGAUUUUAAAUAUUUUUUAAAAAAAUUAUUAAUUUAAAUUUUAUAAAUUUUAAAAUUACUAGAGACUUAUAUAAUUAUUAAUUUUAGAACCUGUAUAAUUAGUUAAGAUAUACACAAAUUGACUUGUACAUCCAUGUUAAUAAAAAAAAAAAAAAAUUGUACGAGAGCUACAAAAAUCACCAAUCCAGAUAUUAACAUUUGUCAUAUAUAUAUAUAUAUAUAAAAAAAAAUUCUAACACUAACACACGUUCUUCGCAUUAUUCUUAAUAUCCACCAGAGUAGAAUUGAAAUUUCUACACUACAUACAAAUUGCACCCACUUUUUCUAGAGUUAUAACGGUGGUUGUGGCGGUGGCUGUUGCUAUGAUUAUGGUUGAAAAUAAAACAUUUAAUUAAUAUGCAUGGUUGAAGGUGAUUCAUUAAUUAAAAUUUUAAUUUUAAUUAUUAUGUAUAUAUUUGAUUUAAAAGAGUGUGCACUCAUAUAACAUUACAUUGUUUUGUAUUAUUAAUGUUUGGUAUUUUGGUGCGAGGUACUUUUCAAAAAUAUUAUUUUCUUGAAAAUGUGCUAAAAUAAAUUAUUUUUUCAAGUUUAUUUUAUUAAAAAACAUAUAAAAAAAAUUACCGCAAUUCUAAACACUUAAAAUAACACAAAGAAAACAAUGGAAAUGCUCCAAGGCUGUAUUUUGGACGUGGAUUUUGUCAAUGAAUCAUCUCAAUCUAAAAACUUAAACUUUUAAUUGAGGUCUCAGGAUAUGAUUUAUAUUAUUCUCUAACACAUCCUCUCAAGUGAAAGUUUUUUGGGCUUGAAACUUGCACAGACCAACAUUACCUUGUGGUUGAUUUUUAUCAAAUAAAUGGAGGUGAUAAGAUUUAAACUCGUGACCACUUGGUUAUUAAGGCUAUGAUACCAUGUUAAAGAACCAUCCCAACCUAAGAACUUAAACUUUUAAGUGAGGUCUUAAGACAUGAUUUAUAUUAUUAUCUAAUAGAUUUAAUUAAAAGUCUAUAUAAACUCUGUUCUUGUAAAUUAGUAACCAAAUAGAAAAGAUAACAACAUUUACUUACUAAAAAUAUAUUUUUAUAUGUUUCUUGUUUUAGAAACAUAUAAAUUUAUUUCAAAAUAAUUUUAAAAUAAUUUUAUUUUAUAUCUUUAUCUUUAAUGUUCUUGUAUUUUUAUUUUAUGUCUUUAUCUUUAAUGUUCUUGGAAACAUAUAAAUUUAUUUCAAAAUAAUUUUAAAAAUAAUAAUUUUAUAUUUAACUAAUAUCAACAAAGUUUAAUGAGUGCAAGGAGGAAGAACACAGGUCAGGACGAAAGAAGCUAAGUUAUGAUUUCUUUAGGGGUUCCAAUUGGGAAACUUCCGAAUCAUUGAAUGAACACAUUACUUGCUGGGAUGAGGACGCAGUUUCCAUGUCCCCUUUCUUUUUUUCUGAAAAUCCUGGCCUUUCAGGAUUAGCAAUAGCCAGGGAAUCAUCAUUUUUGAGCAUCGAGAAAGCUUCCAGCAUUGUUGGUAUAGCAUCUGGAUUUUCUUGGACACACAGCAGAGCAACUUGCAUGCAUGUCAGUAGUUUACAAGGUGAGGAUGAAUCAUCCAAAAAUGGAUCAAUGAAUUCCAUUCCUCGCCCGUUUUCCCACAGGUCAUAUGCCUGCAUGCAUCAAGUCCAUGCAUUUCAAGCUGCCAACUCUACGUACGUGAAAAGCUUCACUAGCAAAUCAAAUGGUGCAAAUAAUGAUAUGAAUUCAAGUAACUCACAUAUUCUAAAAGGUUCAAGUCUUCGUUUUCGCCGUAAAAACGUGUAUUCGUCUUUCCACUUAUCAUUUGAAGCAGUACAACUCCAAAGCUAUAAACAUCAUACUUUAUGGAAUAUAUGCCUCUCCUCGCAUAUUCAGGAGGAACAUAGCCGCUGCAAUAUUGGACAUGUUAAUGCUAAGUAUGUACAGCAAAUAAGAAGUUGAUGUCAAUGAGAUGGAGAGUAUCGUUAAUGAGAGGCAGCUACUUACUAAGUUCCAACAAUUCUGCUCGUGUUCGCUUCAUUCACAUCUUUCCUGAAAAGUUUAGCCAUGCCAAAAUCUGAUAUCUUUGGAUUCAUUUCAUCGUCUAGUAAAAUGUUGCUAGAUUUCAAAUCUCGAUGAAGUAUUGUAAAAUUUGAGUACUCUUGGAGGUAUAGAAGCCCUUGAGUAACCCCUUCAAUGAUACGAACCCGCUUACUCCAAUCCAAGCUAUACCUUCUAAUUGGAUCUGCAUAAAAUGGAACAGGAGAAACUUUUAGUUGCUACUUAUCUUAAGAAUGACAUUAAUUUGGCAUGUACUCGUAAAUUAGCAUCUUCUCUCCCCUCUCGGAGCAAAAUCCCAGAAGCCUAACUAGAUUUACAUGUUGAAGUCUAGCCGUCAGCGAAACCUCGUUCUUGAACUCUUCAAGUCCUUGAGUUGAUGAUGCUGACAGCCUCUUCACUGCUAUUUCCAGGCCUCUUGGUAAUUUACCCUGGUACAUUUUGACACUUGAUGUUAGCAUUAUUUCCUGUAAACAAACCUGAAAAUCUGAACAUGAAUCGUUCCAAACAUGAGACUUCCAGUCAGGAAUACAGAGGGUUAACUUAACCAUACAAUACCUUAUAAACAGGGCCAAACCCACCCUCUCCAAGCUGGUUUUCUCUUGAAAAGUCAUUUGUAGCUGCUUUAAUGCUUUCAAAACUGAACACUUGCGGGAUAGGAGCAUCACCAUCAAAAUUUUCUGCAGCGGCUGAUAAACUAGU